rnacentral:lncRNA from 1 species
AUGCUAAUAAUCAUCAUGUUAGUGGGAGCAUGAUAAUUAUGAUAAGUAUUGCAAGUUAGAAAUGUUAAUUAUACAAAACAAAGUUUCCAUUCUUGAAAUUGUAGGGGUUGGAAAAGUUGUUUUGCUAUAAUUAAGGGAGAGGAUAUACUUCAUUUCAAUUAUAAAAGCUUAGAUUGAGAUUUUAAUCACCUUUAGUCAAGGAUAUAUAUAUAUAUAUAUAUAUAUAUAUAUAUAUAUAUAUAUAUAUAUAUAUAUAUAUUUUUUGUAUUCCUUCNAUAUAUAUAUAUAUAUAUAUAUGAAUUUUAUGUGGGAAUGGUUCAACAUAAGAAAAUUCUAUAUAUUGCAUUCUCAAAAUUCGAUUAUGAUUACGACAUCCCUCCAUGUAGUCAAAUUUUGUGAACAUGGCAAAUAUAAAUUUUAUAGCAUGAAUCGUGUACCAUAUGCUUUGGGUAUAGGAUCGAUUACGUGUGCUAUAAUAUUUAUCCUUUCUAAAUUUUCCAAAUGCAUGGGGCAUUAAGAAGGGAAAAGGUCUAGAAUUGGAUAUGACUAAAAUGAUUAAACAAUUGCCGAGGACAAUCUAAGGUUUACCAAAGAUUGGUUGCUCGGGGACAGUUGGAAGUAUAGUGUUAAUUUUGGAAGGACCAUAUUGACAUAUUCUAAAAAGAGAAAACUCUUGUUAAGAAGUGAUAGUCAAAAUGGGAAUAUGGAAAUAUUCUCAUAGGUGGAAGUUAUUCAAUCUGUGUAAGAUUAGAAAACUUAAGCAAGAAGGAUGUUCAAAAUAAUAUACGUUGAAUAUGAGACUUCGUUUCCAUGAAGGUUGAUCUCCAUUGGAAUACUCUGUAAUGUUUGGUGACAAGUCUUUCUGACUUUGUGCAUAAUCAUUACAUAGGAUCAUUGCAUAUAAGUUUAGAAUCUGUAACGGUCUAAAAAUUUGAAUCAAUUUAAACUUUUCAAAAACAACCCAUUUUCAUAAAGUUAUUACAAAAAGGUUUUCAAUACAAUAAUUAUCAGAGUCUUCCCAGAAUUACAUCAUAAAACACAAUCAUGUGGAUCGGUACGAUCACGCCUUUGCCUUGCCACGGUCUCCUGAAGAACCUGAAAACAUUAAACCGCAACUGUAAGCCCAAAAGCUUAGUGAGAUACCCCCAAAAUACCAACCACAUAUACCAUACACGCACAACAUGCCAUAUCAUAACUGAAAACACAGAACAACCAUGCACUUCGGGUAUACUAUGUGACUGGUCCGCCGCACCGGCCUUUAGUCCACUUGGUUCACCCUCUGAGUCUAGCUGUAUACAUCGAGUCUACAGUGUGAUUGGUCCGCCCGAACCGGGCCUUCAAUCCACCUGGUCCACUCUCUGAGUCUACAAUAUGACUGGUCACCUCGCACUGGGCCUUCAGUCGGUCUGGUCCACUCUCCGAGCCUCGACACAUCUAGUCCGCCCUCUUGGGGCCUACAGCCUAUCCGGACCGCUCGCUGGGCCUUCGGGAUAACCGGUCCCCCCUAGGUAUGUCGGUCUAUAGCACAAAGCAGGACCCGCCUCAACCCAACACCAGUCCAACAACCACGUGCACAUAGACAUUCAAUCAUAUAACGAAUCGCUUCCAAACAAACCGAUCUAAUAGAUCACAUAGCAUAACAUCAUCCUAACCAGGAUACUGACCUAACUGGUCACUAGCAUAGCAUCAUCCUAUAUGCCAGGAUACCGACCUUAAUCAGGUCUCUAACAUAUACCAUCAUAACUACCAGAUGCAAACAUAGCAAAGCAAAACAUAACAACGAUACCCGUAUCAUAAUCCGAGAAAGGGACGGCCUUGGUGCCGUAGACCCUGUCGAUAUAGUGAGGAUAACUCACCUCGCAACGGCCGACUGAAAGAUAAUACCAAGAUGCUCCGACCACUGACACGAUCUCCAACACUAGCCAACACCAACACUGAACUCAAAACAAAUUCCAAUAAUUACCAAAAUGCCCCUGGAAGUCAACUGGUCANACUCGCCGAGUCCCCAUGCUCAAAACUUUCCCAAUCCGCGACUCAAAUCGCCGAGUCACCCCGAGACUCGCCGAGUCCCACAACUCUGAGUCCCCUCGCACUCAACUCACCGAGUCCUCCCUUGACUCACCAAUUCACGGCUCAACUAGAAGAAGGUUAGGACCUUACGACCAGACUCGCCGAGUCCAAGGCUAUCUUCAACCAACUCGCCGAGUUGUUCUUCCAACUCGCCGAGUUCCUGCCCAUCUUCAAGCAACUCGCCGAGUACACCUUUGUGACUCGCCGAGUACCUCUAGAUCUUAAUCCAUACAGAAGCUUUCUAGGCCAUGCAAAUGAUCCAAACCUCAGAUCUACCCUUCUACAACCCAUCCAUCACGUAAAGUGGCAAACUUUGCAUGAAUCUAAAGAGAUCUAAGCAUCAGACACUCUAGGGUUAGGGUUUGGGACAAGAUGGCUUCACCAAUCACUCAAGAACAGGGACUUUAAUGCACUCUAGACCUUAUCCAUUCCAGAUCUAAGGUAGCAACCUCAUAUCUAACCUCCAAACUCAAAACACCACAAGCUAUCUUUUCCAAAAACUCCAAAAUGAUGAAUAAUAGCCCAAGCAAUGAAAUAAUACCUCAAAGGAAAGCUCCAACAGAAGAGAAAUCCAAAUCCUUGCAAAGCCCCUUGCUCCAAGCCUCUUAGCUUUCCAAAAUCUCUUCCAAAAUCUCUUCCCUAAGGUUCAAAAGCUCUUAAACCACUCACAAACGCGCCUUAGGGUUUUCUGGACUUCAAGAGAGGGUAAAGAGGCUGGGGAGAGGGUAUAAUAUCCUUUAAAUAGGGCUCAUUGUAGAGUCUAUGUAUUGUAAAAAGUCGAAGUGGUUGUUUCUUUUAGUUUCGCAUAUUAGUUAUUUAACUAAGUCACAGUUUUAUGCGAAGCGUAUUGUAGUAGACUUAGUAUAUUUUUUGUACACUCAGGUUUACUAUAAAUAGGGACUGAGGAUAGAAGUAGAAAGAACUUUUGAACUCGAGUAUUCUUUCUGCUUAAAGCAUUGUAAUCAGUCUUCAUCAAUAUAAGAUCUGAUUAAUAUUUACUCGUUGUGUUCUUACUUUUCAAUCAUUCAAUCAUAAUUGCUUUCAUAAUCUCGAUAACAAUUCUCUUCAAUUGGUAUUAGAGCAGGAUUCAAACUGCAUCGAUCUGAUUUUCGUGUUAGAAUCAUUUGCUUUUUGAGUACUAACUUUACUCAAAAUUUUCCGCGUAUUUUGUUUUUGAAAAUCACAUUUGAUCUUCAGAUUUGAAUCGAUUAUGCCUUUGAAUUGUUUAGUCGAGUGAUCGAUUAACAAUUUGUGAGCAUUUUAGUUGAUCAAUUGUUAAAUUCAUCAAUUUUUCAAGCUUUCUGAAAUUUUCGUGUUCAUCAAUGGCGAACUUCAACAUGAAUACAAUGACUUCUUUCUCUCACUUGCUUGGUUCUUCAACCAAAAUUCUAAUGUUAAUCCCUGAAUACUAUGAUUAGUGGGCUAAUAGAAUGGAGGAUUACUUAAAUGGAAUUGAUGAAGAACUUUGGAAUUGUAUCAAUGGAACAGUUCAAGCUCCUGCUAAUGUUCAAUCAAUUGGACCGUCUACUAGUUCUGCUGAAGUUGCUGAACAACAAAACCGUUUGAAGAAGAAUGAAAAUAGAUGCAUGAGGGAACUAAGAGGUGCUCUACCUCAUGUGGUUUACAAUUACAUCUGUAGUUGUAAAACAACCAAGGAGAUCUGGAUCACUCUAAAAGAGAAGUAUCAAGGUAGCGAAAAGACGAAGAUCAACUCUGUGAAGCAAUGUCUUGUUGAACUGAAGGAAUUCAGACAAAAGGAUGCUGAAACUCUUGAAAGUUACUUUGAUCGUUUGAAUGAGCUUGUGUAUCGCUGCAAUAGGUAUGGAAUCACUAGGUCUCUCAUGGAGUUUAAUUUAACAUUCAUCAUGGGCCUUCGCAAGGAAUGGCGAAGUGUGAGUAUGAUGAUUAAGAAUCAACAGAGUUUUGAUACAACCAGCUUGAAUGAUCUCUACAAUCAGCUGAAAACACACGAAAGUGAAGUUUCAGAAAUGUAUGAAGAAUCAAAACAAAGUAUAGGAGGACCUUUGGCUCUUGUUUCAAAGGUAUCAGAAGUCGAAAUUAAUGAAACAGAUGGUUCAGACAAUGAAGGCUUCUUAAUGAACUCUGAUGAUUUAGCUGUGGCAUUCUACUCAAACAAUAGAGUUAAGAAUUUUUUCAAAAAGCCUUUUAAUCCAAAAGGAAAGGCAAAUGAUGCAAAGAGUGGAGUCUCAAAAGCUGGAGGAGAGGAGAAGAAGAAAAUGGAAAAAGUUGAUGAAAAGCAAAAAGAUGAUAAAGAUGUGAAGAAACUGAAAGGUGAUUCUGGAAUCUAUUGUCACUACUGCAAUGGUGCGAAUCACUUCGCAGCUGAUUGCAUGUUGCGAAAGAAAGAGGAGAAAAAGAACAAAGUGAAAGAUGAAGCUUACUAUUCGGAAAAGAUUGAAGAGUUGCGUGCAAAGACAAAAGGAAUGUCACUAGUUGCGAAGGGUGAGUCUGAUGAGGAAGAAAGUGGAACAUAUCAGAUCUGGUCUUCAGGAUCUGAUGACGAAGAAAUGAGGCAUCCAACUCAUGGAGCUAUGUUCGCAAGCUUUGAAUAAAAUUGCGAAGAGGAUGUUUCAGGUCGGUGCUUCGUAUCCAAAUCAUCAGACAAAUCACCAAUGACCACCAAGGUACAUGCUAUUCUUGAAUAUUUUAAUAUUCCUUUAUUUGCUUAUGAUACUGAAAUUACUUCUUUUGAUGGUAUUGUUGCUUAUUUUGAUUAUGUUAUUGUGUCUGCUAGUACCGAAGCUCAAAAUUUAAAUAUGCAACUAGUUGAGACACGAAGAGAGUUAGAAAUAAAACGAAGCAGAGUAGACAAACUUGAAUUGCAAAUCAAAAAUGUAAAUUGUGAUAGGGACAAUCUUGGAAAUGAAGUUAGGUUGUUGCUAGCACAAAGAAAUAUAUACUGUAACUCUGCUAAGCGUUUGUAUGCAAAAUUAACUGCUUUACAUCAUUCAUCUGACAUUAGCAAAGAACAACAUAGGAAACUUUUACCUUUUCUUGAAUAUGAUCGUGAAAAAGUUGAUGUUGUGUCUUAUGAUUGCGAAAACACAAUUGCUCAAUUUGACAAAAUACCUGAUGAUAGAUUCGCAUAUGGUAUUGUCAAAAUUGAUGAAUUUUUGAAUGCUGAUGAGUUGGUUAGUAUUGUCAACGAAAGUUUGACAAAGAAUGAGCAAGUGAAAAUCUUAAAGAAAACUGAAACCUCAACUCUUGAUUCUCAACUCAAUUAUGCUGAUAUCGAUGACAAUUCAAAUAAUGUGAGUGAAAUCAGUGAGAUUGAAGAGGAAGAAGAGGUUGAUUGUUCUCAAUUGUCAAUCAUUAAUAUCACAUCUAAGAUCAAAGGUAAAGAAAUUAUAGUUGAUUUGAUAGUCAAAGAUGAAAUUGAAAAACCCUCUACUUCGCAACAUUGUAAUUUUGAUAAUGUGGAAGUUGAAAGCUGGAAGACUGAUGACACUGAUGAAAACAAAGAAGAUGUGAAGGAUUCACAUGAAAUACCUCCACGAGUUGUGGUUGAUCAAGUGUUUGGAGAUAUAAAAGAAUUUGACAAAAUUCAAAGUGACAAAGUUGCACAUUAUUUCGAAACUAACACAGUGGUUUAUCCAAAUUUUAUAUACACUGAUAACACCAUUUUUCCAAAUCAAAAUUUUGUUACUACUAGAAAUGCUGAGAAAAUUCACCCUGAAUUCAACAAAAAUGGCUGAAAAAGAUAAUCAAAGGUAACCUACUGAAGGUUUCUUCGCAAAUCAAAACACAGAAGAAAACAAUUUAACUAAAAAUUCUUAUGUUUUUCAAAGACAAAAAUCAUCACAAAAAUGGGUGGUUAAAGGUGAAAAGCAAACAAAGUUUUUGAAAAUUUUGAAAAACCAAAGGUUGAAGUGAAAUUAAAUUCUCAUGAAUUCAAAUUGAUGGUUGGAAAUUAUUCAACAUAAAAGAAUGUUUCAAAAAGAAAAGAAAGAAAAGCAAUCUUUUGGCAAGUUGUGUCCAAUGAUAAAUCAAAAGUUGAAAAAGAACAAAUUUUAAAGUCAUAAUCAUCAAAAUAUCAAAGCAUAAAUAAACAAAAGGAUACAAGUUUUCAUAAACCAAUAAAUUCUAUUGACAAAAUUCCAAUGAAAAAUAAUGAUAAACUUGUUCGCAAAUAUGACAACAAUCGAAAAUUUGAGGCUUCGCAAAAAUUUGUGAAGAAUCAAAAGUUUCAUAAUGUUGGCAAAUUCAUGAAUAAUUCGUCAUCUUUGAAUGUCACAACUCAAAAAAAAAUGAACUUUUCACCUAAACAACCAAAAUUUCCAAAUCCUUCAGUCUCAAAACCGACCAAAGUUUCGUAUACAAAAGGAAAAUCUGAUGUAUGUAUGAUCAAUCGUUGGCUUGAAGGGAAAGGAAGACAAUAUCAAAAUGGGAAGUUUUCAGAGCAACAAAUAAAGAAUGCAUUUGACAAGUUCGCAAAUAACUCUUCCACUGGUAGUUCAUCAUCUUAUAAUUCGCAAGUUCCGGUACAAAAAUGGAAACCAAUUAUCAAAGUUGCGAAUGUUGUGAAAGAUGAGAUGAAACUAAAUGAAAAUCCAAAACUGUUGAACAACUAUAUUUCAAUAUCUCAAUCUGAUGAUGUUGAUAUAAUUGAUAAUGUCACAGAAAAAGUGAAAACAUGGUUUUUAAAUUCAAAGCAUUUGUUCAAAAAUACUAAUGGAGGAUCCAAUAAGUCUUGGGUUCAUAAAUUGUUUCAAUAAAUGCAGGUGAUGUGUGACGAGCAAUAUGAUGCGAAAUGGUAUAUUGAUAGUGGUUGCUCUCGUCACAUGACUGGAAGAAAGGAAAACUUGCGAGAUUAUCGAUGCUUGGAAAAUGCAGGAGUAGUCAAAUUCGAAAAUAAUCACAAAUGUCAAGUGAAAGGCUAUGGGAAAGUCACAAAUGGACAAUUCAGUGUUAAAAGGGUUGCAUAUGUUGAAGGUCUUCAACAUAACUUGAUUAGUGUUUCGCAACUUGUUGUGGGUACUGGAAACCAGGUUGUGUUUAAUGAAGAAGAAAGUAUCAUUUCAACUGCGAAGACAAAUGAAGUACUUCUCAAAUCCAAAAGAUAUGGUGAUAUGUUUACACUGGACAUCAAACCAAUCAUGGGCAAACCUGCUGUGUGUUUACUAUCAAAGGCAUCUAAUGAUGUCAGCUGGCUUUGGCAUAGAAGAUUGUCACAUUUGAACUUUUGCAAUAUUAACAAACUUGUCACUGAAGAUUUAGUUCGAGGUUUACCUAUACUAAAAUUUGACAAUGAUUCUCUGUGUGCAGCUUGCGAACAAGGAAAACAACAUAGAAAAGGUCAUCCGAUUGUGAUAGAUUCAAAAAUCAUAGAACCAUUGGAACUUCUUCACAUUGACCUAUGUGGACCGUCGACUGUUGCUACAAUCAAUAAAAGCGGUACAUUUUAGUUAUUAUUGAUGAUUUUUCUCGAUUUACAUGGGUAUUUUUUCUCAGGUUAAAAUCUGAAGUUGCUCAGAUGAUGAUUGAUUUUAUCAAAAAGAUUGAGAUUAGCCUUAAAAAGAAUGUUCGCAAAAUUAAAAGUGAUAAUGGUUCUGAGUUUAAAAAUCAAACACUUGAUUCAUUUCUCAUAGGCAAAGGAAUUUCGCAUAAUUUCUCAUCACCAUAUACUCCACAACAAAAUGGUGUUGUUGAAAGAAGAAAUCGAUCUCUAUGCGAAGCAGCCAGAACCAUGUUAACAUAUGCGAAUCUACCUCAAUAUCUUUGGGUUGAAGCAGUUUCUACUGCAUGCUUUACUCAGAAUCGAUCAUUUAUUCAUCGAAGAUUCAAUGUUACUCCAUAUGAAAUACUCAACAAUAGAAAACCUAAUGUCAAAUUCUUUCAUGUUUUUGGUUGUAGGUGUUUCAUAAUGAAUCUCAAAGAUAAUUUGACAAAGUUCCAAGCUAAAGCUGAUGAAGGCAUAUUCUUAGGAUAUUCGCAAAAUUCAGUUGCAUACAGGGUGCUAAACAAGCGAACAAGAAAAGUUGAAGAAACUUUCAACUUAACUUUCGAUGAUUACUAUCUUAAACAAACGGAUAGUAAAUUUGAAAAUAAAUCAAUUCUUGUUGAUUCAGAUACUCAAAUUGAUAAUUCUGAAAUAAAUGAUUUUGAUUUUGACUUAAUGUUCGGAAUAACUGACACGACAAUUAAUGCAGAAACUAAUGCUCCUGAUAAUCAAACAUCAGAAUCCUCAAAACAUACUGAUGAUUCAACAAUCACUACAAGUUCAAUAUCUUGCGAAAGUGUGCCUGAAGUUCGUAUGGAGGGGGAGCAUACGAUUAACAAUGAACACACACAACAAACUUUCGAGGGGGAGAAUGAAAAUAUGAAUCAUCAAGUUGAGGGGGAGCAUUCGCAAUCUCAACAAAAUCAUCAAGUUGAGGGGGAGCAUUCGCAAAUUCAACAGGAUCAUCAUUUUGAGGGGGAGCAUCAAGAUGAACAUUAUGUUGAGGAGCAGCAUGAUACAACAGAGACAAUUAAUCUUGAUGAGAAUGAUGAAUUUCAUGAAUUAAAUGAUAAUUUUUCUGUUGCAGGAUCUGAGAAUGAAGAUGUGUACGAAGAUGCACCAUUCGAAUUUAAUCCUGAUUUUCCACCACCUGAGAAAUGGACAAGAAAUUAUCCUAAAGAAUAGGUAAUUGGCAAUCCACUAGAUGGUGUGUUGACAAGAGCUCAAAUUCGUGCGAAAAAUGAGGUACUGAAUGCGAACCAAGAACUGUGUAUGUUUAAUGUCUUUAUUUCGAAAAUAGAGCCAAAGACAGUAAAGGAUGCUAUGGAACACUCAGAUUGGGUUGUUGCUAUGCAAUCUGAACUGGCUGAAUUUGAACGAAACAAGGUUUGGAGAUUAAUUCCUAAACCUUCUGAUGUUUCAAUUGUCGGAUUAAAAUGGAUUUUUAAAAAUAAAACCGACAAAGAUGGCAAUAUUAUUCGCAAUAAAGCUAGACUAGUUGUUAAAGGCUAUUCGCAACAAGAAGGAAUAGACUAUGAAGAAACAUUUGCUCCUGUUGCAAGACUCGAAGCAGUUCGCAUAUUUUUAGCUUAUGCAGCUCACAAAGACUUUGACGUUUUUCAAAUGGAUGUUAAAUGCGCAUUCUUAAAUGGAGAACUUGAAGAAACAGUAUAUGUUGAACAACCACCAGGAUUUAUAAACAAAGAACAUCCUGAUCAUGUCUACAUUCUAGACAAAGCUGUUUAUGGGUUAAAACAAGCACCAAGGGCCUGGUAUGCAACACUUACAAAUUUCUUGAAACAAUCUAAAUUUAAACAAGGAUCAGUUGACCCCACAUUAUUUUGCAAGAAAGUUGGGAAUCAUCUCAUGCUUGUUCAAAUUUAUGUUGGUGAUAUUAUUUUUGGCUCAACUGACCCAACAUUGUUAAUUGAAUUUGAAAAUCUAAUGAAGAGUCAAUUUGAAAUGAGUAUGAUGGGAAAAUUAAUAAUUUUCUUGGAUUGAAUAUAAGACAGAACAGGGAUGGAAUUUUAAUCAAUCAAGAAAAAUACACGAAGAACUUGCUUGAAAAGUUUGGAAUGACCAACAGCACGAAACUGAGAGUACCAAUGGCAGUGAGAACAAGACUAACUCCUUCGUUAGAUGCUCCUGUUGUUGACUUAACACUUUAUCGAAGCAUGAUAGGGUCUUUAUUGUACUUAACUUCAAGUAGACCUGAUAUUAUGUUUUCGGUAUGUAAUUGUGCUAGAUAUCAAGCUAAUCCCAGAGAACCUCGUUUGACUGUAGUGAAAAAUAUUUUUCGCUAUCUUAAGGGGACAGUGUCGUUAGGACUUUGAUAUCCUUCGAAAUCGGGAUUUUUCAUUCAUGCUUUUUCAGAUUCUGAUCUAGGAGGAUGUACUUUGGAUAGGAAAAGUACAAGUGGUGGAUGUCAACUAUUGGAUGGGAAGUUGGUGAGUUGGCAAUCGAAGAAGCAAACUUGUGUUGCUAUAUCAACUGCUAAGGCUGAAUACAUUGCAGCUGCUUCUUGCACUUCGCAAAUUAUUUGGAUUCAGAGUCAACUUCGUGACUAUGCGAUAAACAUGAAAAAGAUUCCAUUGUAUUGUGAUUCGCAAAGUGCAAUUCACAUUUGUCAUAAUCCAGUACAACAUUCAAAGACAAAACACAUUGCUCUUCGAUAUCAUUUUUCAAAGAUCAUGUUGAAGAUAGGAAUAUUGAAAUUCAUUUUGUUAAAACCACUGAACGAAUUGCUGAUAUUUUUACUAAACCUCUUGAUGAAAAAUCAUUUGUAAAAAUUUUAGCAGGUUUGGGGAUGAUUGAUGCGAAUUCAAUUUCAAAAUAUCAAGAGUGAAAGGUCCAUUCAGCAGUUAUUAGUCAGAAUCGUUCAAAAGUUACUGUUCAUCCAGAGGCUUCGCAUCCACAUUUCUUCGCAUUUGCACACAUGACAACUAAGGUUAGGUUUACGGUUCAUUUUGUGUUUUUAAAUUUUUUUUUGAAAAACUUGAAAAAUCAAAAGUAUUUUCUUUUGAUUCAUUUUCAUUUUCGAAAAAUCAAAAAUCCAAAAAGAUUUUAUUUUGUUAUGUUUUUAUUUUUGAAAAAUUUAAAAAUCACAAAAUAUUUUUUUUUCUCUUUAAGUAUUGUGUGUUUUGAGUUUAGUUCAGGGCUUAAUGCUAAGAGGUCAUGCUUAUAUGUUUCUAUGGGAAGGUAUCAAUUCUUUCAAAUUUGUACUAGUUAGGAUGUCCCUAGAAGCAUGUUGCAACAUGUUGACUCAAGCCUCAUAUGACUCUAUGUGUGAGAAAAGAAAGCCUUAAUGAAAUUAUCACAUGACAAUUUCUUCCCAAUAAGGCUUGUAUUCGCAUAAGUCAAAAGAGCUACCUUACUCUUCUCAUAUGAGUUAAGAGUUUUCUGUUUGGUCCACAAAUAACAGAGGUACAUUCGAUCUUAUAACCAAUCUUUUUCAUCUCAAAAUUUGUCACACAAAUCACACACAAAGACAUAUGUCCGAGAGGUCUCUAAUCAAACCCAUCGAGACUUAGAUAUACAAAAAUUCUGUGUUUAUGAUCUGACAUCAUGAGUCCGUGAUGAAAGUGAAACCCAAAUAUCCUAAACUUUAAGGAAUUGACGGGGAAUAUUGUUCUAGAUAUUAACUAAACUUUUGUUUCAGUACCAAAAUUUCGAAACUCCAAAUCAUAUUCAAUUCGCAUAUGUGGUCUUGAUCAAACAUUCUCAACCCACAAUGUUUGUUACCCAACAAGAUCCAGUAGAACAAUUUUUAUGAAUAUGAUUUCUGUGUGAGUUUCAUUCGCAAAUCCUAGUCAUGAUAAAUAUUUUCAAAAGCCAACUUGUCACUGACUACACUGGUCAUACAAGUAAUUUCAGUUACAAUUUCUCACCUUAUGUUAAGGUUGAUAUGUAAUGAAAUUUGAAACCAACCCAAAAAUAUCUUUCAAAAGAAGCCCUUUGAUACUUAUCAAAAAGUAUUUGAUUGUAAUUCAUGGGAACAUACACAAGUUGUUGAUCAUCUCUCUUGAUGAUUAAUGAAGCAACCUUUGCCUGGGGUUUAACUGCCUUCGUGUCAAAUUGAAUUUUUGACAUCACAGAAUUCCAAAAAAAAAUUUGUUGUUAUUUCUUAUCUUAUUUCUUUGGAACACUGCACUCACGAAAUCCUUGAGGUUCUGAGUAAUACCAAAUCAGGCUGAUGAUUUCGCAAAUCUGGCAUAUGACUUCACUUUAUAUCCCAAAAGUGAAAGAGCCUUGCCUCCAUGCGAAGGGUUCUAACGGUUCUAAUUCUAUAACGGGAAAAUUGACAGGCUGUGUACUCAAGAUGGUUGGUAUUCUGUCCGGUUUUCUAGGAUAUGUGACAGCUACUUUCAGCAUGGCUACCUUUUGUGGUCAUGGUCCGAUUAUCAAGGUGCCACAUCGGAUAACAUUAAAUGCAUCCCGCUUUAAUUUCAAAUCGAUUUGGGUUACCUAUAAAAGGGUGUUCAAGAUCAUUGUAUAUGGUUACGUGAACAAACUCUCACAAUCCUAAAUUUCUUCAUCUUCUUCAUAUUCAUUUUGUUCAAAGCCUAAAAAUGGCUGGAACUCUAUCCAACACUGAUGAAGUUCUCUCACAAUCACUCAUGAAGAUUCAAAGCACCAACUAUCAAGUCGAUCCGAAUGUCUCUUCUUACCCAGAAGGACUGAAGAUGUUAAUUGUUGCACUGAAAGAUCUCCACUAUCCACCGCCAUGUUCAGUUCUUUCUUAGUUCCGAUGACAUGGUUGUCAUUGGCAGCAUCAUUGGCUUCCUACAACUAUGCCACUGACGUGAUUACAUUCCACCUGAUGAACAACAAAAGGGUUCGACUUACGAAGAAAAUGUUCAUUGAGUUCUUGAACAUUCCCAACAACCCUCCAUUUUGCAAACCCCUCAAUUCCCAAAUCAUCUUUAUGUUCAAUGAGAUGGGUCAUCAGCCAGCACUUGAGAAGGUUAGUGAUUUCCGAAAAUCUGGAUUACCAUGUAUGUGGAAUUUUCUAUUUGGAAUUUUUCUCAGAUGUUUGACAGGAAGAACAGUAGGUGUUGACAGGGGGCAUAUGGAAGUUUAUGCGUUGGUGAUGGGCUUAUACUACGAUAUCAGUGUGGAUUACGGAACUCAGUUGUGGAAGGAGUUCGUAAAAAGUUUGGAAAACACAAAUUCUGAAAAAGGAAUCUCAUGUGCAAGGUAUUGGAGCCUUAUUCUUGAAAAGGCAUAUGAAAAAGAAGGAAUUCAAGUCCCAGAGGGAGCUGAGGUUGCAGAAUUCUCGUUGUAUCAAUUUCCGAAGGAGGUGGAAGAUGAUGAAAAUAUCUUUACACAUGUCUCGCAUCCCNGAUGCUUCACAAAGUAUCAUCCACUCACAAAGUGUUGGUAAGAUACAUGAAGACGGUGGAUCCAGCUGUGCAGACUGGGAUCUUAUUGGAAGUCACUGCCAAAACCUCAAAGAAGAAGAAGACCACUAAGAAGGAUGAAAACGUUCAAUCUUCGAAAAAAAGUCAAGAAGAAGAGGUUCAGAUAGAGGAGACGUCUUCAAAAUCGAAGAAGGAAACUAUACCCUCAAAAUCUGGGGUACUGAAGAAGUUUCGCAAAUCCGCUCCUAUUCGCAAGACAUAAGUCAGCAAUAAGGGGAUAACGUUUAGAAGUGUUCCAACUCCUGUUUCUCCAUGGUCAAAAAGAAAAAGAGCUCAGGAUGUUGCAAAACAGAUGCAACAAACACUUCUGAAGAAGCGAAAGUUGAUCAUUUGCAACGAGUCUUCUGAUGAAGAGAUUGUACCAGAAACUCCACCUGUUUCUACACUGGUAACUGUUUCUCUUCCACUAGUUUCAAUAACCCCUACUUCGCAAAUUUCUACCACAACCCCACUAUCCAUUCCACUUGAAAUAGUCACUACCAAAUCAGUUUCUGAGGAGGUACCUAUUUUUGAUACGGUUGUCAACGUAUCUGAUACGGGGGCACCUAUCACAAGUGUUGAAACCACCCUGCCCAUUAGCCUAUCUUUUUCAUUGCCUUUUUCAUCUGCGAAGGUAUCUACUUCCUUACCACCAUUUUCACUUCCAACUCCUACACUUUCUACCUCAUCCAUUUUUGACCAUCCUCUACACAAUCCAUUCACAACCUUAUUUCCAUCAUAAUCACCCGAAACUCCUCAACCUUCGCAACCCAUGUCCGAUGAUGAAACAGAAGGAGGAGGUUUUGGAGGAAUAUUUGAGGAUUUACAUUUUGAUUCAGAGGAGGAGGAGAUACCUGAUCAUAUGCUUAUGACAGGAAAGCAAUUCAAAAUCCUGAAUCAAAAGUUGAAUGCCAUUAUUCAGUCACAAGCUGAUUCUGGUAGAACGUCAUCUAUAUCAGGAUUGGAGGUUGAUGUUAUGAUCAAAGCUGAUGAAAAGAGAAUACUUGAUCAAGUUGAUCAGUCAGACAAGAACAAUGAGCUUCGCAUUAAAGCUCAAGGGAGUUUGUUGAAUGGAGUUGUCAAGGAAUUACAAACUGUUGCAAAAGAACGCCAUGUUCUGUUUGUGUAGGAUGUAAAGAAGGUUGGGGAGGAUGUGAACUUCAACAUUGAAGAAUUAAAGACUGAACUUGCGAAGGAGCUUUGAGAUAUUAAUUCUCAACAUAUUGAAGUACAGAAGAGGGUUGAUGUGGUUUCCACAGACAUAAACAAAGUUAUUGUUGCUCCUAUCCUUGAAUCAAACCACAAAGAAAACAAGGAGAAGUUUGAUCAGUUGAUUCAGAUGGUGACUGAGUUAAAAACCUUGGUUUCACAAUCUUCAUAUGUGACAACCCAAAAUUUCCAUUCUGAACAAACCAUAUCAAGCCAAUAGAAGUUAGAACAGCUACAAUGAAAUUCCAGACUUCGGGUAUAAGUUUGGCAGUUUUUCAGGAUUUACACUUAAGGAGAUAUCAGGAGAGUGGAUGCACUAGGGUUUUGUGCAACACUGUUAUUCCAAUACUCUAGGAUAUUAGAGUUCAUUCCGGGAAUAAAAAUAUUUUCUGCCAAAAAUCCCAGGACUAUAUAUAGAAAUCUGAACCAAAAUAAUUCAUUAGUUACAUUUCCAAUUAGAGAAAAGCCAAAAUUCUCUCUCACGGAUCUUCGGGUUUUUAUCCCAAAUUGUGAGUACUUCGAUCUAGUUAUAUUAUAUAGCUUAGAUUGUGUUUAGAAACAUCAAAAUCGGACCAAAACCCCAAGAUUUGGGAGUUUACCGCCCAAGAACACUUGGGGAGUAAACUCUAUUUUAAGGGCCAAAAGUGUCCCAAAGCCCCUCAAAGCCUUGGAACUCAAACUAGAAGCCUCCAUUACAUGUUUAGGACACCAAAAUCAAUUAGAAACAAGGAUGAAAGUGAGUUCACGGCCAAGGACGUUCUUAGGCCGUGAACUCCAUGUUUAAGUGCCAAAAUGCCCUAAAUGCCUUCAUUUAGCCAAGAGACUAGCAUAGCACAUUACCUUGAUGUGUCUAAGACCCAAAACAAUCAAAAUACCAACACCUAGGGGUGUUCACGGCCUCAAACACAUGGCCAAAUGGUUCAUGGGCCGAAAACUCUAGUUAGGGGUGUUUUGAUGCCACAAACACUUCCUAAGGCUUAGGCUUGAAUUUAGACAUGUACCCUAAUGAGUUUAGGACUAGCUAACACACUUACAACACCAAGAGUAAGGUGUUCACGGCCCAAAAGGUUCUAGGGCCGUGAACUCCAUAAAAUGGUGCCAAAUGGUUCCAAAAACUCUUCUAAAGCCAAGUACAAAAGCCUAGUUUAGUUCCUAGUUAAUUUAGGGACUUGAAAACCUCAAAAACAUCAAAUUGUACUCCUUACCAUGAGUUUACGGCCGUAAACUCAUGGGGGAGUGGUCCCAAGGCCGUGAACUCCUAAAUGGAGUUAAAAGGAAGCCCAUACACUUGUUUAAGCCUUGAAGCAAUUCACCACUUGAGUUGUAAUAAAGUUAAGCCUCCUUCAGUGACCCAAAAUAUAGUUUACGGCCAGGAGUUUACUCUCUAGGGCCGUAAACUCCAAAACAUGUGGUCAUUUGACCAUAAACUCCCAUUAGAGGUUUUGCACUCCUUUGUUGCAACCCAUUAGCCUCCUAGCACUUGACCACAAGUGUUUUCCUCGCAUUAGGAUAUUUAUACAUGUUUAAUUAGUGUUAUAAUCACUAAUUGUUUAUAUACAUAUGUCUUCAUAUGUAAUUAGGAUCAUUGUGUGUGUCUAAAGUUUCCACUUGACACCUAGCAGUCCUACCUCUUCAGUUCAUCCGUAUCACCCACAACAGGUGAGUUCAUACCCCUUAAUCAAUGUUUUAACUAUUUUUAAAUGUUUNGGGGGGGGGGGGGGAUACAAGUAGAAUCAUGCUACUUAUUAUAUCAAUCACAUGUGAUUAAUAAGCAGGAUUUAAAUGGUUUACUACUCAUCAACCGUUUUACCAAACAAUUUCCUUUAAAUGAUUUUCAUAAACAUUUAUAUGUUUUAAAACUCCUUAUUACAUUGUACAUUUAACUCUGUAUGUUUUAUUUCAAACUUAUUUACAAUUGUGUUUCAAACAAAUGUUUCUUUAUACUAAAUUGUUUUAUCAAACCCAUGCCUUCAAACCGUUUUAUAGAUCGACAUCAAGUCGAUCUUUUCUUAGAUAAUAAUUAUGUUCAAUGGUUUUACAAAACUUAUUUUAUGCUUUUAUAUUAUAAAUUGCAUGCCUCUAUAUGUAUGUUUAUAUAAGUAAUGUUUAAAAGACUUAGGAAGGCUAUCCACAUUGUGUCCUUUUCCUCGAUUUGGAUGUGGGCUGAUAGAAUAUCGGGUACUCGUCUGAAGGUUGUUUAAAUAUUAUUUAUAUAUCAUGUGUACAUAUCUAGUCAUAAAAGGUCCUUCCAGUUCAUCCAAUGCUCUUGGGUAGCAAGGGUAUACAUCCAUGUUCAUACGUCCCAGUUAGAUUACUAGUAAACUGCCAUAUGGGUAGUUUAGGAAGAUACUAGAACCAUUACUAGAACGCGAUAUCAUACAAUGAGUCAGUUUAUUCAUGAGUCUAUACUUACUAGGUAGAGAGCACGUACAUUACAUCUUUUAGUACAUUACUAUACUUGCUAGGUAGAGAGCACGUACAUUACAGCUAGAACAUUACAGUACAUUACUAUACUUGCUAGGUAGAGAGCACGUACGUUACAGUUAGAACAGUUCAGUACAUUACAUAUACCUAAAUACGUUAACAAAAUUGUGAUCCUGUAUCGGAGCAUGCCUUAAAUGUCAUGGCCCGAGUUGUAGCCAAAGUCUCUUGAAGGGAGAGCGUGAGUUUGCGUAUAGAUCUAUACUGGAUUGACAAUCCUACACCUUGCUGCUAGCUACAACCGGACCUACAGGUCUUCGGGUGCCAAACGUCAUUUCUUUUUACAACCAUACGUAUGUCGUUGUUACCAGUCAAUAGUAUGGUGCAAUUAAUCACAUGAUACCUUAAUAUAAAUCCGGUUUAAGGUAGUUAGUACAACAGUAGUUCUUAUAGCGCUACAAUUUAGUACUACAUUUAUUUCCCCUUUACAUAUAUUUAGUGAUCUUUUCACUUAAACUUUAAAUGUAAAAACUAUAUUUUGUUAAUGAUAGUUACACUUGCGAAAAUUACCCACUUUUACAAGAAACGAACAUUUAGAAUAGUUGAGUCUUGGUAGAAGACAACAUUGAGAAUAGUUAUGUCUUGGUAGAAGAAACCCUUAUAUAAUAGUAGGAAUCAUAGGGAUUUCUAGAGUUUUUCAAACGUUUACAGUUGUUUUACAAACAUUUUUAUACUUACAGUUCAUAAACAUUUUACAUACUUACAGUUCAUAAACUUACAAAUUCUUACAUACAAAUUAAGCCACUAAAAUACUUAUGAUCUCACCAGCUUUAAAGCUGAUACUCUCUUUCAAAAUAACUUGUAUCCUCAAGUCAACCAUAGACAGGUACCGAUGCAAGGUUCAGGAAGAUGGUGCUCGAUCAAGACGCAUCUUUCAUUUUGAUUUAUGCUUUAGUGUAUAUCAGAAUCUGACAGAACACAAUUGUAUAAUAAUUAUAUUAUUAAUGCAAUGGAUGAUGUUGUUGGUUGUUUACUACUUUUCAUUGUUGUGAUACUGUACAUGACGUCCUCCGCCCCAGAACGUUUCCACCGUUCUUGGUUUUGGGGUCUGAUAGAUUGGUAUCAGAGCAUUGUUUAUAGUGAAUUAAGUAUAUCAACCCAUAAAAGACAUACUAACUAUAAAUACAUAAGGGAUUAAAAAUAUUAUGACCAAGAGUUUAUACUUUAAAUAAUAAAAUAUUUAAUAAAGUAUACGUGCCUGCAUUCAUACUAAAAUCGGUGUCACUAGGACAGUACAAAAGAAUUACGAUUGUUGGGCAACACAAGUGGGCUUAGAGACAUAUGGUCAAAACUGGGAAGAUAUAGCCUGAUCACCUAUAUUAUCCGAGGGUUGACUAGCAUGUGCCUAAGUGUAGUUGUGUGGUUGCAACAAGUCUAAAAUCUUACCAACCCUACCACAAUGAGAACAGUAGAACAUAACAUUAAACUUAAAAGACUAUAGGAGUAUUUGGUGUGACUAUAAGUACUUCAUACUUGAGAACUAAAACGGGAUCUUCAUUAGUAAGUUGAUAGUUGCUAAGUGGAUACACUAAGGCUAUAUGUAAUGAGGAUGUUAUAGACUGAGAAUCUGUGAAAAUUUUACUUUACCCCUAUUCUGUGUGAAUUUGGAGUUAAGAUCACUGAUUCGAAGGCCUAUCCUGUUUCGAUUACAUAUAACUGGUAUGCACUUCACAAACAGCGAUGUAACUGAUGAAGAUUUUCUAAAUAAUUAUCUAGAUAGUUCGUCUAAUAAUUAUUUUCUUACCCCAAUUCUCGUAUAAAUAACAUGGCUAGACUCCAUCCCCAUGGCAACCAGUACCUCCCGAAUGAGGUCAUUGCUGGAUGGUUAAAGAAGAACCAGAGAAUGAUCAUCCUAUCCCUAUGAAUGAUCACCAUGAUGAAGACAUUUCGGACGAUGCUAACUUCGAACCAGAGGUUGAGAACCUCACCCAGGCAGCUCCCGUUCCAAUUCCUAACCCUCGUCCGGCUUUUCAUGGCCCGACGCUAGAGUGGGUGGAAUGCUUGGAAACAUGGAGCCAAGGACAAGAUCAACCCAUGCCAUUUAAUAGUGACCGAAUCUUCUACGACUUGAGCAAUGGGGGCUCAGUAGACAGAUUCUUGCCAAUCUUGGUCCGCAGAGUGCCACGAAAUGAGAUUCAAGGCAGGACAGCCCUACAUCAGAGUUAUGUGACAGAGUAUUUGUAUGCUAUAUGUAUGUUAUGUGUUGUACUGCAUUAUUUCUAUGUGAUUUAUGAUGUGCAUGUUUAUAGAGUUGGAACCGGAAGGUUCCCAGAGUUAGAACUAGAGGGUUCACAGAGUAGGGUCCAUGGACCCACAGAGUUAUAGCCUCGAGUGGCUAAUAUGUGUUAUGUGUGGUAUUUUGGGGAACUCACUAAGAUUUAUGCUUACAGUGUUGGUGUUAUUUGUUUCAGGUACUAGUGAUGAUCGUGGGAAGGCGCCGGCUUGAUUAGUACACACACACACACGGGAUUUUUAUGUUAUCAGAUCUUGGGAAUUUUUAUAUAGCAUGGAUUGAGUUUCAAACAUUAAUGUUUUAUGAAUGUUAAUGUAACAGCCCGGAUUCCCAGGUAUUAUUUAUUCUUCUAAUUUUUGGUGUUUUGUGAGGAGACGCGGCGAGUUGGAGCUCAAACUCGCCGAGUAUGAUCGCGGUUUGGGCAAGGGUUCGCGUCCGGACUCGGCGAGUCCAUGCGGUUUAAUGAAACCCUAAAUUUAAGGGUAUGAAACCUAUUUAAAGGGGCUUAUGGCUGUCAUUUGUGGCCACCAACCCCAGAGAGAACCCUAAGAGAGUCCUUGAGCGUUUUGUGAGAGAGAAGAGGAAGAUCCUUGAUUAUUUGUGGGUGAUUUUGCAUAUAGAAAAGGAUCAAGGCAAGAAGAGACCAAAGGAGGUGCUAAUCCAGUGAUUCCUGAGUUCAGAGACUUCAUUUGAGGUAACUAUUCGUUCCUUUCUUAGUCCUUGGUGUAAAUCUUAGAGUUAGGGCUUCUUUGUGGAAUGCUUCAUGGAGUAAUUGGCCUCUUCUUGUGUUGAUGCUUUAGAUCUGGACCCAAAGAGGUCCAGAGACUCUUUUCCCUCAAGCUUUAUGAGUGUUAAUGGAGGCCAUGAGCUUAGAAUAGCAUUCUAGAGACCAUAUCAUCAAAUAAGGCCUUUGGACCUUUGCAUGAGCACCAAGAUUGUAACUUUACGUGAUAUAUGUGCUUGGAAGGACUGGAUCUAUGAGUUACUGGAACGGAUCUGACCUCAGGAGUGAGUUUGAGUUCAUGCAUGGCAUAGACUCGCCGAGUCCGAAGAACAGACUCGGCGAGUAGCAUGAAGAUUGUCCAUAACCACUCAGCGAGUGGUCUUGCCGAGUUAAGGGGUUGACUCAGUAAGUCAGGGAGAGUCAGAGAGGGUUGACAGGUGGACUGAGUCAAGCUGGAACUCGCCGAGUUGUUCUUGAGACUCGGCGAGUUGAGUCGUGGUGGCCCCGCGAUUCAUGCCAGGUGGAACUCGUCGAGUCAGGGAAGUACUCGACGUGUCAAGAGAGGAUCCUAGGGAGUCAGUGAACACGUAUAGACUCGCCGAGUCGCUCUAGUGCACUCGCCGAGUCCGGUCAAAGUUGACCGUUGACCGUUGACCAGAGUUGACCAGUGUUGACUUGAUAGGGGUAGUCAACCUUAGUUGUGAAAGUGUUAAUUAGAGAUAUAUUGUGUUAUAGGAGGAUUAUAGCUCGGAGGAUCGAGCGCGAGUGAUUUCCGGGAUUUGCGAGUUAUCGAGAUACGCGAGGUGAGUCUUCUCACUAUACUUUACCUUGAGUAGGUAAUCAGAGUUAUGUGACAGAGUAUUUAUAUGCUAAAUGUAUGUUAUGUGUUGUACUGCAUUAUGUCUAUGUGAUUUAUGUUGUGCAUGUUUAUAGAGUUGGAGCCGGAAGGUUCCCAAAGUUAGAACCAGAGGGUUCACAGAGUAGGGUCCACGGACCCACAGAGUUAUAGCCUCGAGUGGCUAAUAUGUGUUAUGUGUGGUAUUUUGGGGAACUCACUAAGCUUUGUGCUUACAGUGUUGGUGUUAUUUGUUUCAGGUACUAGUGAUGACCGUGGGAAGGCACCGACUUGAUUAGUACACACACACAGGAUGUUUAUGUUAUCAGAUCUUGGGAAUUUUUAUAUAGCAUGGAUUGAGUUUCAAACAUUAAUGUUUUAUGAAUGUUAAUGUAACAGCCCGGAUUCCCAGGUAUUAUUUAUUCUUCUAAUUUUUGGUGUUUUGUGAGGAGACUCGGCGAGUUGGAGCUCAAACUCGCCGAGUAUGAUCGCGGUUUGGGCAAGGGUUCGCGUCCGGACUCGGCGAGUCCAUGCGGUUUAAUGAAACCNUGGACUCGGCGAGUCCACGCUGUUUAAUGAAACCCUAAAUUUCAGGGUAUGAGACCUAUUUAAAGGGGCUUAUGGCCGUCAUUUGCGGCCACCAACCCCAGAGAGAACCCUAAGAGAGUCCUUGAGCGUUUUGUAAGAGAGAAGAGGAAGAUCCUUGAUUAUUUGUGGGUGAUUUUGCAUAUAGAAGAGGAUCAAGGCAACAGGAGACCAAAGGAGGUGCUAAUCCAGUGAUUCCUAAGUUUAGAGACUUCAUUUGAGGUAACCAUUCGUUCCUUUCUCUGUCCUUGGUGCAAAUCUUAGAGUUAGGGCUUCUUUGUGGAAUGAUUCAUGGAGUAAUUGGCCUCCUCUUGUGUUAGUGCUUUAGAUCGGGACCCAAAGAGGUCCAGAGACUCUUUUCCCUCAAGCUUUAUAAGUGUUAAUGGAGGCCAUGAGCUUAGAAUAGCAUUCUAGAGACCAUAUCAUCAAAUAAGGCCUUUGGACCUUUGCAUGAGCACCAAGAUUGUAACUUUACGUGAUGUAUGUGCUUGGAAGGACUGGAUCUAUGGGUUAUUGGAACGGAUCUGACCUCAGGAGUGAGUUUGAGUUCAUGCAUGGCAUAGAAUCGCCGGGUCCGAAGAACAAACUCGGCGAGUAGCAUGAAGAUUGUCCAUAACCACUCAGCGAGUGGUCUUGCCGAGUAAAAGGGGUUGACUCAGUGAGUCAGGGAGAGUCAGAGAGGGUUGACAGGUGGACUGAGUCCAGUUGGAACUCGUCGAGUUGUUCUUGAGACUCAGCGAGUUGAGUCGUGGUGGCCCCGCGAUUCAUGCCAGGUGGAACUCGUCGAGUCAGGGAAUUACUCGACGUGUCAAGAGAGGAUUCUAGGGAGUCAGUGAACACAUAUAGACUCGCCGAGUCGCUCUAGUGCACUCGCCGAGUCCGGUCAAAUUGACCGUUACCGUUGACCAGAGUUGACCAGUGUUGACUUGAUAGGGGUAGUCAACCUUAGUUGUGAAAGUGUUAAUUAGAGAUAUAUUGUGUUAUAGGAGGGUUUUAGCUCGGGGGAUCGAGCACGAGUGAUUUCCGGGAUUUGCGAGUUAUCGAGAUACGCGAGGUGAGUCUUCUCACUAUACUUUACCUUGAGUAGCUAAUCAGAGUUAUGUGACAGAGUAUUUGUAUGCUAUAUGUAUGUUAUGUGUUUUACUGCAUUAUUUCUAUGUGAUUUAUGUUGUGCAUGUUUGUAGAGUUGGAACCGGAAGGUUCCCAGAGUUAGAACCAGAGGGUUCACAGAGUAGGGUCCACAGACCCAUAGAGUUAUAGCCUCGAGUGGCUAAUAUGUGUUAUGUGUGGUAUUUUGGGGAACUCACUAAGCUUUAUGCUUACAGUGUUGGUGUUAUUUGUUUCAGGUACUAGUGAUGACCGUGGGAAGGCGCCGGCUUGAUCAGUACACACACACGGGAUUUUUAUGUUAUCAGAUCUUGGGAAUUUUUAUAUAGCAUGGAUUGAGUUUCAAACAUUAAUGUUUUAUAAAUGUUAAACAAUUUGUGUUUUUAUGAAAUGCGAAAAAUUGUUUCGAAAUUUGCGGUGUUACAAGUUUGUAUCAGAGCCUUGGUUUGAGGGAUUCGAGUACACUUUCGGGCGUAUUUGAACUCAAACUGAGGAUUUGAGAAGUAUUUUCAAAAAGAGUAAAAGAUUUUUGGAACAAUGCAGAGCAGAGUUGUGUGUACGAUCAGUCUGCGCCCGAACGGUGAUUUCCCAAAAUACCCUCAUGUUAUGUGAUAUUGAUAUUGAUAUGAUGUAUUCUCAUGCUAGAGUAGGCUAGGUACUCCUAUUAGGACUAGAGUGGCCUGAUUUGUGAUGCCUUAGCCUAGGGAGAGGUGAGCUGCUAUGAGAUGCUUGAGAGUGAGUAGGUAGCAGCGAGGGGCUUAUGAGAGAUNNNNNNNNNNNNNNNNNNNNNNNNNNNNNNNNNNNNNNNNNNNNNNNNNNNNNNNNNNNNNNNNNNNNNNNNNNNNNNNNNNNNNNNNNNNNNNNNNNNNNNNNNNNNNNNNNNNNNNNNNNNNNNNNNNNNNNNNNNNNNNNNNNNNNNNNNNNNNNNNNNNNNNNNNNNNNNNNNNNNNNNNNNNNNNNNNNNNNNNNNNNNNNNNNNNNNNNNNNNNNNNNNNNNNNNNNNNNNNNNNNNNNNNNNNNNNNNNNNNNNNNNNNNNNNNNNNNNNNNNNNNNNNNNNNNNNNNNNNNNNNNNNNNNNNNNNNNNNNNNNNNNNNNNNNNNNNNNNNNNNNNNNNNNNNNNNNNNNNNNNNNNNNNNNNNNNNNNNNNNNNNNNNNNNNNNNNNNNNNNNNNNNNNNNNNNNNNNNNNNNNNNNNNNNNNNNNNNNNNNNNNNNNNNNNNNNNNNNNNNNNNNNNNNNNNNNNNNNNNNNNNNNNNNNNNNNNNNNNNNNNNNNNNNNNNNNNNNNNNNNNNNNNNNNNNNNNNNNNNNNNNNNNNNNNNNNNNNNNNNNNNNNNNNNNNNNNNNNNNNNNNNNNNNNNNNNNNNNNNNNNNNNNNNNNNNNNNNNNNNNNNNNNNNNNNNNNNNNNNNNNNNNNNNNNNNNNNNNNNNNNNNNNNNNNNNNNNNNNNNNNNNNNNNNNNNNNNNNNNNNNNNNNNNNNNNNNNNNNNNNNNNNNNNNNNNNNNNNNNNNNNNNNNNNNNNNNNNNNNNNNNNNNNNNNNNNNNNNNNNNNNNNNNNNNNNNNNNNNNNNNNNNNNNNNNNNNNNNNNNNNNNNNNNNNNNNNNNNNNNNNNNNNNNNNNNNNNNNNNNNNNNNNNNNNNNNNNNNNNNNNNNNNNNNNNNNNNNNNNNNNNNNNNNNNNNNNNNNNNNNNNNNNNNNNNNNNAUUUUCCGAGCUUCAGGAAAAUGCCCGGAAGAGGGAGAUUGAGCUAGAGACUCAGGCCAGGGAGGAGGCGGAGUCUCAGGGGAGGGAUCGGCGACCGGCACAGUCUCAGCCGGCAGCCAAGCGGGCCAAGCCCGCUGAUCCCAAACCAGGGAGCCAGAAGGGCCGCACUUGUGGGAAGUGCGGCAAGGGUCAUGAUGGAGUCUGUAGAGCGGGAUCUUGCUACAAGUGUGGCAAGGAGGGGCAUAUGGUCAAGGACUGCCCCAAGGGGUUUGCGGUGUGUUUCCACUGCAACCAGACCAGACACCGGAAGGCAGAGUAUCCGCAAUUGCGAGGAUCAUCUCAGGGAGCACCUCAGGGAUCUGCCCCUGCCGCCAUCAGAGCUACCGAGAGUCGUCCAGUGAAGGCCGAAGCGCCGAGGGUAUGAGGGAGAGCUUUUCAGUUGACCGCGGAGGAGGUCCACGCAGCGCCCGAUGUCAUGGCUGGUAUGUAUUCUUUCGUGUAUUUAUUUUGAUGUUGAGAUAUUAUGCUUAUAUUAUGUUAUGCGUAGGUACUUUUCUUGUGAAUUCUGUACCUGCCUUGGUGUUAUUUGACUCGGGUGCGAGUCGGUCUUUUGUAUCUUUGGCUUUUAGUCAGCAUAUCAGUGUUAGUCGUGAGGCGUUGAGUCGGCCACUAAGAGUUUCCAUAGCUGACAAGAGGGUGAUAUAUGCCACGAGGUUCUCCAAGGGCGCGUAUUCGAGAUUUUCGGUGUUGAGUUCCCGAUUGAUUUGGUUCCUAUUGCGAUGGGUGAUGUAUGUGUCAAUGUGGGCAUGGACUGGUUGAGUAGAUUCGGUGCGGUAUCGACUGCGAGCGAUAGCUGGUGACCAUACGAGACCCUAGUGGGGGAGUUCUUACGGUGUACGGCGAGGGUACACAUUCUGGAUCAGCGUUUUGUUCGGCCGCUAGGGCGAGGCAGUGUCUACAGCAGGGCUGUAAGGGUUUUGUGGCGUAUGUGAUGGAUACGCGGGUGGAUUCCGAGAGACCGAGGUCAGUUGAGGAGGUUCCGGUAGUGCGUGAGUUCCCGGAUGUAUUUCCCGAGGAGUUGCCGGGUGUGCCUCCUGUGAGGCAAGUGGAGUUCAGUAUCGAUUUGGUUCCGGGGGCCGCGCCUAUCGCUAAGGUGCCUUAUCGCCUUGCACCUCCAGAGAUGCAAGAGUUAUCUUCGCAGCUUCAGGAGCUGCUGGGGAAGGGGUUUAUUCGGCAGAGCAGCUCACCGUGGGGAGCGCCUAUUCUGUUUUUCAAGAAGAAGGAUGGUUCACACCGGAUGUGCAUUGAUUACCAGGAGUUGAACAAGCUGACGGUCAAGAACCGUUACCCGUUGCCGAGGAUCGACGAUUUGUUCGAUUAGUUAUAGGGAGCAUCUUGGUUCUCCAAGAUCGAUUUGAGGUCUGGAUAUCAUCAGGUGAGGGUGCGAGAUGAGGACGUCCAGAAGACAGCAUUCGGGACGCGUUAUGGGCAUUACGAGUUUGUGGUGAUGCCUUUCGGGCUCACCAAUACCCCAGCAGUGUUCAUGGAUCUCAAGAACCGAGUUUACAGGCCGAUGCUGGAUCGGUCGGUGAUUGUAUUCAUCGACGGCAUUUUGGUAUAUUCGAGAUCUAGAGAGCAGCAUGAGGAGCAUUUGAGGGAGAUCCUCGGAGUUCUGAGAUCGGAGAGGCUUUAUGCCAAAUUCUCCAAGUGUGAUUUCUGGUUGCGAGAGGUCCAGUUCUUAGGACAUCUCGUUAACCAGAAAGGGAUAUUGGUCGACCCGGCCAAAGUUGAGGCAGUGAUGAGUUGGGAGGUGCCGAGGUCACCCUCCGAGAUCAGGAGUUUCCUAGGGUUGGCAGGUUAUUAUCGGAGAUUUAUCAAGGAUUUCUCUAAGAUUGUAGUGCCACUCACUAGGUUGACCCGGAAGGGUGUCGCUUUUUCAUGGGGCCCCGAGCAGCAGGCCUCCUUUGAGACGCUUCGCCAAAGGUUAUGCGAAGCCCCGGUGUUAGCCCUCCCGGAAGGAAUGGAGGACUUUGUGGUAUACUGUGAUGCAUCGAUUUUGGGGUUGGGAGCGGUGUUGAUGCAGAGAGGGCAUGUGAUAGCAUAUGGAUCGAGGCAGCUGAAGCCUCAUGAGACGAGAUAUCCCACCCAUGAUCUAGAAGUUGGGGGCAGUGGUGUUCGCCCUCAAGAUUUGGCGUCACUACCUGUAUGGGGUUCGGUGUACGAUAUACACAGACCAUAAGAGUUUGAAGUAUUUGAUGGAUUAGCCCAACCUAAAUAUGCGGCAGAGAAGGUGGUUGGAUGUGGUCAAGGAUUAUGAUUGUGAGAUCCUAUACCACCCAGGCAAGGCUAACGUUGUGGCCGAUGCACUGAGCCGCAGGGCGGAGAGCACCCUGUUGCGGGAUGUAUGUUUGAGAUUGACCGUGAUAGCUCCAGUGUUGGACGCCAUUCGUAGGGCACAGGCCGAGGCUGUGCAGCCUGAGAUGCAGAAGAAAGAGCAAGUUGUUGGAUUGAUUUCAGAUUUCGUUACCGAUGGUCGGGGGCUUAUGACAUUCCAAGGGCGUAUUUGGGUGCCGUUCGUGGGAGGAACGCGUACCAUUUUGAUGGAAGAGGCUCACCGGUCGAAAUUUUGGAUCCAUCCUGGGGCCACUAAGAUGUAUUUGGACCUGAGGAAAGAGUAUUGGUGGCCCUGUAUGAAGAGGGAGGUUGUGUGGUUUGUUGAGAGGUGCUUAACCUGCCGUAGGGUUAAAGCCGAGCACCAAAGACCGCAUCGUAAGUUGCAGCCGUUGGAGAUUCCCGAAUGGAAGUGGGAACAGAUCACCAUGGAUUUUAUCACCAAAUUGCCAAGGACUGCCAGGGGAGUUAUGCAAUGUGGGUGAUUGUGGAAAGGUUGAUGAAGAGCGCUCACUUUCUUGCUAUCAGUGAGAGUUCUUCACCAGAGAAAUUGGCAGAAGUGUAUGUGAGGGAAGUGGUGUCUCAGCAUGGAGUGUCGAUCUCGAUUGUUUCAGACCGUGAUGUGCGUUUCACUUCCAGAUUCUGGAAGAAGUUUCACGAGGAGUUGGGUACUAGGCUGCAUUUUAGUACCGCAUAUCACCCCCAUACGGACGGGCAGAGUGAGCGAACGAUUCAGACGCUCAAGGACAUGCUCCGGGCAUGUGUGUUGGAUUUCGGGGGAAGUUGGGAUACGUACUUGCCCUUGGCGGAGUUUUCCUACAACAACAGCCAUCAUUCGAGCAUUGGUAUGCCGCCCUUUGAGCUUUUGUAUGGGAGGAGGUGUCAGACCCCCAUUUGUUGGGGAGAGGUUGGACAGUGUGUGAUGGGUAGUACAUAGAUCAUGCUUCAGACGACAUAGCAGAUCCAGNUGACCGCCCAGAGUCGGCAGAAGAGUUAUGCGGACAGACGUCAAUCCGAGCUCGAAUUUCAGGUCGGUGACUUCAUGCUCCUGAAGCUCUCUCCUUGGAAAGGAGUGAUUCGAUUCAAGAAGAGGGGCAAGUUGGGGCCCCGAUAUAUUGGUCCAUUCCAAGUGAUCGCGAGGGUAGGCCGGGUAGCCUAUCGUUUGGAUUUGCCAGCAGAGUUGGGGCAGAUUCACGACACUUUCCUUGUGUCGCAACUGCGGAAGUGUAUAGCCGAUGAGUCGGCAGUGGUUCCAUUAGAGGAUAUUCAGGUGGAUGCGAGCCUAAAUUAUGCUGAGAGACCUGUAGCAAUCCGAGAUCGGAAAAUCAAGGUUCUGAGGAACAAGGAGAUACCCUUGGUUUUGGUUCAGUGGCAGCAUCGUAAGGCGUCCGAGAUGACUUGGGAGCCGGAGCAUGAGAUGUGUGAGCAACAUCCAGAUUUAUUUGUAGAGCGAGACUUCGAGGGCGAAGUCUAGUUCUAGUGGGGGAGAAUUGUAACAGCCCGGAUUCUUAGGUAUUAUUUAUUCUUCUAAUUUUUGGUGUUUUGUGAGGAGACUCGACGAGUUGGAGCUCAAACUCGCCGAGUAUGAUCGCAGUUUGGGCAAGGGUUCACGUCCAGACUCGGCGAGUCCAUACUGUUUAAUGAAACCCUAAUUUUCAGGGUAUGAGACCUAUUUAAAGGGGCUUAUGGCUGUCAUUUGCGGCCACCAACCCCAGAGAGAACCCUAAGAGAGUCCUUGAGCGUUUUGUGAGAGAGAAGAGGAAGAUCCUUGAUUAUUUGUGGGUGAUUUUGCUUAUAGAAGAGGAUCAAGGCAAGAGGAGACCAAAGGAGGUGCUAAUCCAGUGAUUCCUGAGUUCAGAGACUUCAUUUGAGGUAACUAUUCGUUCCUUUCUCAGUCCUUGGUGUAAAUCUUAGAGUUAGGGCUUCUUUGUGGAAUGCUUCAUGGAGUAAUUGGCCUCUUCUUGUGUUGAUGCUUUAGAUCUGCACCCAAAGAGGUCCAGAGACUCUUUUCCCUCAAGCUUUAUGAGUGUUAAUGGAGGCCAUGAGCUUAGAAUAGCAUUCUAGAGACCAUAUCAUCAAAUAAGGCCUUUGAACCUUUGCAUGAGCACCAAGAUAGUAACUUUACGUGAUGUAUGUGCUUGGAAGGACUGGAUCUAUGAGUUAUUGGAACGGAUCUGACCUCAGGAGUGAGUUUGAGUUUAUGCAUGGCAUAGACUCGCCGAGUCUGAAGAACAGACUCGGCGAGUAGCAUGAAGAUUGUCCAUAACCACUCAGCGAGUGGUCUUGCCGAGUUAAGGGGUUGACUCAGUGAGUCAGGGAGAGUCAGAGAGGGUUGACAGGUGGACUGAGUCAAGCUGGAACUCGCCGAGUUGUUCUUGAGACUCGGCGAGUUGAGUCGUGGUGGCCCCGCGAUUCAUGCCAGGUGGAACUCGUCGAGUCAGGGAAGUACUCGACGUGUCAAGAGAGGAUCCUAGGGAGUCAGUGAACACGUAUAGACUCGCCGAGUCGCUCUAGUGCACUCGCCGAGUCCGGUCAAAAUUGACCGUUGACCGUUGACCAGAGUUGACCAGUGUUGACUUGAUAGGGGUAGUCAACCUUAGUUGUGAAAGUGUUAAUUAGAGAUAUAUUGUGUUAUAGGAGGGUUAUAGCUCGGGGGAUCGAGCAUGAGUGAUUUCCGGGAUUUGCGAGUUAUCGAGAUACGCGAGGUGAGUCUUCUCACUAUACUUUACCUUGAGUAGGUAAUCAGAGUUAUGUGACAGAGUAUUUUUAUGCUAUAUGUAUGUUAUGUGUUGUACUGCAUUAUUUCUAUGUGAUUUAUGUUGUGCAUGUUUAUAGAGUUGGAACCGGAAGGUUCCCAGAGUUAGAACUAGAGGGUUCACAGAGUAGGGUCCACGGACCCAUAGAGUUAUAGCCUCGAGUGGCUAAUAUGUGUUAUGUGUGGUAUUUUGGGGAACUCACUAAGCUUUAUGCUUACAGUGUUGGUGUUAUUUGUUUCAGGUACUAGUGAUGACCGUGGGAAGGCGCCGGCUUGAUUAGUACACACACACGGGAUUUUUAUGUUAUCAGAUCUUGGAAAUUUUUAUAUAGCAUGGAUUUAGUUUCAAACAUUAAUGUUUUAUGAAUGUUAAACAAUUUGUGUUUUUAUGAAAUGCGAAAAAUUGUUUCGAAAUUUGCGGUGUUACAGAUGUAGGUCAAAUUUUCGAGAACAUCCUUCUGUUCUUUACAUAAACAGUCGAACUACACCUAGGGUCAACCAGAAUCGCUCACAAAAUCCUUAUCUUUCGUGUUACAGAAUCAUGUCGUCAUCCGGAAACGAUCAGUCAAGCAACGAAAACCCUAUCCUCCAUAUCGACGCUGCUACAUUACAAGCUACAGUAGUAGCUGAUGUGACAACUUUCCUUACACACAUCAACUCAGGAAACACAACAAGACUAAAAAAGGAGUCGAGAGUUACGAUGGUAGUACCAAACCGGGAAACCAACAAAUGGCAACAGUCAUGGACUUGCGAAGCCUCCAGACCAAAAGGAAGAGACGAUAUCGUAAAGCCCUAAAGGAGCGCAAGAAAGCCCAAAGACUUGCCAUGCCACAGCCACCAGUGGCACCUCUGGCAGAACGCUUUAAGAAGCAAUUUUCAAAGUGGAGUAAUGAGGAAGGCACUCGUGUCCACAUAACACUGGCUAAACACCGCAAUCCCGUCACCAAUGCAAGUACUAGCCAGUCAUGCCACCAAUGCGGUGAGAUAGGGCACUUCCAGAAGGAUUGCCCUAUAGCAAAGAACUCUGGCGCAAAUGGGAGGAUUCUCAGGAUCACAGCUGCAGGAGAGCCUACUCUGGAACCCACGUUAAUGUAAUUUAGGCGUUUCGUUGUAUCUGACUUAUAAACUAUUCGAAACUAGUGCAACUAGAGUCUUACCUUUUGCGAGAUCCUGUCCGUAUAAGGAUUCUCGUGUUGCAUAUACUUGUCUUUUGUAGUAUACCUUAUUCGCAGCAAUGGUCUUGUUGUAAGUCUAAAGUAUUAUAACUUUGUUGAUGGUUGCAAGGUUGUGUUUUGUCUAUAAAACGUCUUAUGUUCAAAUCUAAUGUCUUUAAGUUUCAGUAUGAUUCUGACAUUAUCAUACGACUCGAUUCAAUUUGAUCCUCACGAAAACAGCUUCAUGUGUACGUCUCAUUAUCAGUAAACGUCUUUUUAGCGAAACCGUCAUUUCAGAACACCGAAGUACUCAUGCAUGGAGUACCUCAUAGUUCUUUUCUUUUCCGAAGAAACCCCCAAAGUACCACUCGUGCAGUACGUCAAGUUCAAUCCAAGGAUUCGUACGAUUGAUCUAUCACUGAGGAAUGUAUACAUAAGAGUGAUAUAUAAUCAAGGUUCUACAGGUUUAGAAUUGAUGAUUCCACUUUAACUUCUUUUUCCCCGAUGGGAUGUGAGCUUAAAGAAGAAUCAGUUAUUCGACUACCUUUUCAAUCUUAAUUAUAUACGACUCGUAUACACGAAAUUGUGAUUUUGAAACCAUGUAUGAAUUCUAAUAUGAACUUCAGGACGAAGAACUGCUCAAGACUACGAGUGAUCACAUCGUCAUGUGAACAAAAUUAGAACCCAGUAUGACUCCCGUAAACGGAUCGCCCUACAGCUUAGACACCUAUAGAGACACAAGAACAGUGCAGAAAACUUAGCAAACCACACAUAAAUAGAAUUAGAAGACUAGGCUUCUCACCCUGGAGAACGCCGGUCUUGUUCUACCAGAGAUCGACGGAUUGCAUCGUAUGUGCCUCGUAUAUCGAGGACUCCGUCAAGAUUUUCCAGUAGAAAUCGUUAUCUCUGCCUCGCAUAGAUAAAUUGGUUGAGUAAACGCAAGGAAAGCGUUACUUUCAGAAAUGGAUCUGAGAUCCGAAUAUCACCAGUUCGAGUGUUGGGGAAGGAUGUCCGUAAGACUAACUUCCAAACUCGAUGCGGAAACUUCGAGUCCGUAGUGAUACCCCUCGGAUACGACCAAUACGCCCAUAGCUUUCAUGAGCUAAAUGAGUAGACUACGUCUUUCUUACUUGGAUCAGUUUGUCAUUUCUCCAGGUAACGACUUACUUAUCUACCCUCGUGGUAAGAAGGAACCUCUGGAAACAUCACCCUCGGAGAUACUUUUCGCAAAGUUCUUUGAACCCGAGUUUUGGAAUUGAAGAGUCAAAAUUUCCUAAGACACACUAUUAGUGAUGUGGGAAUUUUUGAGUACUCUUUCAAUUUGUCAAAACUGUUGAGAAUUUGUUGACACCAGAGAUGCCGACAAACAUUCACCAAAUUCUAGGUCUUACAGACCUACUGUCAUAGUUCGUCCAUAACUCCUCGUAAAUUACAGAAACCCUUUCCACCUUGACACAGCAAGGAGUGGCCCCUGACUGCGAAGUUAAACAAGAAAAGGAAACUUUGGAGAUUCCAAGUGAGAGACCAAACUCUUUAGGAAGUGUCACUCUGGGAACGGCUUAAUACGAUUUGUAAAGUGUGGAAAGCUAAAUCCAAGAUAGAUAGGACCUCCGAGAUUCUUACCAGAAUCGGUCCUGUACCUCGCACACACUAGACCUACUCCGCGAACUCAGUACGUACAUUCUACUCUUCGCGUCUCGAUCAUGAGACCAUACUUUUCCGUUAGGACUCUUGUAAGUCCACUCGUCGAGAUCCUCGCCUUCGUAUUAGAACUGAAGUGACCCUCAACCGAGAGGUCAAGCGGAAGAAGCAACGCCGUCGCCCAUUAGUGAAGGUUCGUUGGGAUGCCAACCGAGAACCCGAUUUCACUUAGGAGCGCUAGAACCGAUCGAUUAGGAAGUUCCUCCACACGACUCGAUCAUUCGUACCUACUUCCUUGCCUAAAUUCUAAUUUCGGGACGAAAUUCCCUUCAACAGGGGGAUGAUGUGACAACCCGAAAUUUCCAUUCUGAACAAACCAUCUCAAGCCAAUAAAAGUUAGAACAGCUACAGUGAAAUUCCAGACUUCGGGUAUAAGUUUGGCAGUUUUUCAGGAUUUACACUUAAGGAAAUAUCAGGAGAGUGGAUGCACUAGGGUUUUGUGCAACACCGUUAUUCCAAUACUCUAGGACAUUAGAGUUCAUUCCGGGAAUAAAAAUAUUUUCUGCCAAAAAUCCCAGGACUAUAUAUAGAAAUUUGAACCAAAAUAAUUCAUUAGUUACAUUUCCAAUUAAAGAAAAGCCAUAUUCUCUCUCACGGAUCUUCGGGUUUUUAUCCCAAAUCAUGAGUACUUCAAUCUAGUUAUAUUAUAUAGUUUAGACUGUGUUUAGAAACAUCAAAAUCGGACCAAAACCCCAAGAUUUAGGAGUUUACCGCCCAAGAACACUUGGGGAGUAAACUCCAUUUUAAGGGCCAAAAGUGUCCCAAUGCCCCUCAAAGCCUUGGAACUCAAACUAGAAGCCUCCAUUACAUGUUUAGGACACCAAAAUCACUUAGAAACAAGGAUGAAAGUGAGUUCACGGCCAAGGAGGUUCUUGGGCCGUGAACUCCAUGUUUAUGUGCCGAAAUGCCCUAAAUGCCUUCAUUUAGCCAAGAGACUAGCAUAGCACAUUACCUUUAUGUGUCUAAGACCCAAAACAAUCAAAAUACCAACACCUAGGGGUGUUCAUGGCCUCAAACACAUGGCCAAAUCGUUCAUGGGCCGAAAACUCUAGUUAGGGGUGUUUUGAUGCCACAAACACUUCCUAAGGCUUAGGCUUGAAUUUAGACAUGUACCCUAAUGAGUUUAGGACUAGCUAACACACUUAGAACACCAAGAGUAAGGUGUUCACGGCCCAAAAGGUUCUAGGGCCGUGAACUCCAUAAAAUGGUGCCAAAUGGUGCCAUAAACUCUUCUAAAGCCAAGUACAAAAGCCUAGUUUAGUUCCUAGUUAAUUUAGAGACUUGAAAACCCCAUAAACACCCUCCCAAGGGAGUUUACGGCCGUAAACUCCAAGGGAAUAUGGUCCCAGGGCCGUAAACUCCUAAAAGGAGUUAUAUUAUGCCCUAAACUCUUCCAUAGACCAAGCCAUUAAGUAGAAAUGCUUAUUAGGGCCUUAUAGAGCAUCAAACAUCAAAUGGACACAUAAGUAUGAGUUCACGGCCGUAAACUCAUGAGUUUACGACCGUAAACUCAUUUAGUAGUGUCUUUAGGGUCAUGAACUCCCUUAUGGAGUUUUCCUUGAGCCCUACACACAAUAGCUUCCCCUACAAACACUUAGAUGCAAUCCUAGAGGCUAAUAACACUUGAUAAAGGUGUUUAGCAUGUCCUAGGGUGUCUUGACUUGUUUAUUAGUUGUUUAUAGACUAAUUUGUUACAUAUAUGUGAAAUUAUAUGUUAACUAGGAUCAUAGAGUGUGUUCAAGACUUCACUUGACACCUAGCAGUCCUACCUCUUCAGUUCAUCCGUAUCACCCACAACAGGUGAGUUCAUACCCCUUAAUCAAUGUUUUAACUAUUUUUAAAUGUUUUGGGGGGGGGAUACAAGUAGAAUCAUGCUACUUAUUAUAUCAAUCACAUGUGAUUAAUAAGCAGCAUUUAAAUGGUUUACUACUCAUCAACCGUUUUACCAAACAGUUUCCUUUAAAUGAUUUUCAUAAACAUUUAUAUGUUUUAUAACUCCUUAUUACACUGUACAUUUAACUCUAUAUGUUUUAUUUCAAACUUAUUUACAAUUGUGUUUCAAACAAAUGUUUCUUUAUACUAAAUUGUUUUAUCAAACCCAUGCCUUCAAACCGUUUUAUAGAUCGACAUCAAGUCGAUCUUUUCUUAGAAAAUAUUUAUGUUCAAAGGUUUUACAAAUCUUAUUUUAUGCUUUUAUAUUAUAAAUUGCAUGCCUCUAUAUGUAUAGUUAUAUAAGAAAUGUUUAAAAGACUUAGGAAGGCUAUCCACCCUAUUUCCUUUUCGCGCUUGAGAUGUGGUCUGGUGGGAUAUCGGGUACUCGUCCGAAGGUCGUUUAAAUAUUAGUUAUAUAUCAUGUGUACAUAUAUAGUCAUAAAAGGUCCUUCCAGUUCAUCCAAUGCCCUUGGGUAGCAAGGGUAUACAUCCAUGUUCAUACGUCCCAGUUAGAUUACUAGUAAACUACCAUAUGGGUAGUUUAGGAAGAUACUAGAACCAUUACUAGAACGCGAUAUCAUACAAUGAGUCAGUUUAUUCAUGAGUCUAUACUUACUAGGGAGAUAGCACAUACAUUACAUCUAGAACAUUUUAGUACAUUACUAUACUUGCUAGGUAGUGAGCACGUACAUUACAACUAGAACAUUACAGUACAUUACUAUACUUGCUAGGUAGAGAGCACGUAUGUUACAGUUAGAACAAUUCAGUAUGUUACAUAUACCUAAAUACGUUAACAAAAUUGUGAUCCUGUAUCGGAGCAUGUCUUAAAUGUCAUGGCCCGAGUUGUAGCCAGAGUCUCUUGAAGGGAGAGCGUGAGUUUGCGUAUAGAUCUAUACUGGAUUGACUAUCCUACACCUUGCUGCUAGCUACAGCCGGACCUGCAGGUCUGCGGGUGCCAAACGUCAUUUCUUUUUACGACCAUACAUAUGUCGUUGUUACCAGUCAAUAGUAUGGUGCAAUUAAUCACAUGAUACCUUAAUAUAAAUCCAGUUUAAGGUAGUUAGUACAACAGUAGUUCUUAUAGCGCUACAAUUUAGUACUACAUUAAUUUCCCCUUUACAUAUAUUUAGUGAUCUUUUCACUUAAACUUUAAAUGUAAAAACUAUAUUUUGUUAAUGAUAGUUACACUUGGGAAAAUUACCCACUUUUACAAGAAACGAACAUUUAGAACAGUUGAGCCUUGGUAGAAGACUACAUUGAGAACAGUUAUGUCUUGGUAGAAGACACCCUUAUAUAAUAGUAGGAAUCAUAGGGAUUUCUAGAGUUUUUCAAACGUUUACAGUUGUUUUACAAACAUUUUUAUACUUACAGUUCAUAAACAUUUUACAUACUUACAGUUCAUAAACUUACAAAUUCUUACAUACAAAUUAAGCCACUAAAAUACUUAUGAUCUCACCAGCUUUAAAGCUGAUACUCUCUUUCAAAAUAACUUCUAUCCUCAUGUCAACCAUAGACAGGUACUGAUGCAAGGUUCAGGAAGAUGGUGCUCGAUCAAGACGCAUCUUUCAUUUUGAUUUAUGCUUUAGUGUAUAUCAGAAUUUGACAGAACACAAUUGUAUAAUAAUUAUAUUAUUAAUGCAAUGGAUGGUGUUGUUGCUUGUUUACUACUUUUCAUUGUUGUGAUACUGUACAUGACGUCCUCCGCCCCAGAAUGUUUCCGCCGUUCUUGGUUUUGGGGUCUGACAUCAUCUCAGUCCAUUCUCACUCCUGAAUUCUUGUCUCUCAAAGUCAAUAAUUUGGAACAAGCAAUUCAGAAGGCACUUGCUCCUAUUGCAAGCUUUACCUCUUUACUACCGAAGAAUGCCCCACCUGCUUUCACAGGGGUGCAAGGGGGAGAGAAAAAUACAAGUAAAGAGGAUGAUGCAAAGAUUGUGGGGAAAAUGAUAUCCACUCAGCUCAAAACUACUCUUCCAAUAUUCACUAUGCCGAUUUCCUCAACAACAAUGACCACAAGACCAAUAGCCAAAGGAAUAUCUAUUGGGUCAAAAGAAGGAAGUUCUAGUGCGAAACCUCCAACUGAUGAUGUGGGAAAAGGGAAAGGGAUUAUGUAUGAAAAGUCAAAGGAGGAGAAGAAAGCUGAAGCAGAGGCUGAAUUGGAAAGGCUGAGGCAAGUUCAGAGCAUAAUGAGGCAAAGGGCAAGUGAUCCUCCCACAAUGAAUAAAGGAGAUCCUGCGAAGCUUUAUUCUUAUGAAACUAUAGAGUCGAAAUUGGUGGGGAGAGAGAUGUACGAAUUUGAGAAAAAGCCAAAGAGGAGCUACGACAUUGCGAAUUCGGACAAAUGCCAGUUGGAUUUUCCGAUUAAUGAAAUGCUUUUCAUAAUGGCUCAAUACAAGAUUAGCGAGAAGUUUGAUAAUGCUGAUGACUACAUACACAUGAAAAUCAAAUUUCAUGAUGUAUUGGGAAAGAAUCCAGAUGAAGUAUGGUCCUUAAUGAAGAUUAAAAAGGUGUUGACGAUUAAGAAGGAUACGAUGUUUGAAGACAUGCUUUAGAAUUUUCGCUAUUUUGUCAUUCGAGCUGAUAACAAACAAUAUGACUUCACAAUAGUUGACUUCCCUCUGAUGAACUGCAAUGAUCUUAUCCAAGUAGCUCUUAUUUUGAAACAUAUGGAAGACCACAAGCUCAAAGGAUCUGAAACUGAAGUGUUUAGAAUCGGUUUCGCACAUGUCAAGACUUUUAUUGAUAACUACUUUGACUGUUUGGCAUUAACCGAUGAAGAACUCGCAACGACUUUGGGAAGAGAAGUGAAUGUCCCUUGGGAAGAUACCUUGACCCAGUCAGCAUUAUCUAAGUAUGUUGUUGGUGAAAUAUGCCUGAAACCUUUUGGCAUGGUAUUUUCAGGGAGAGAUACGAAGGGGAAGCCCAAGAAAUUUUUGUUCAAGGUCUCGGAAGUUGAAAGAUAUACUUCUUCACAAUAUACGAAUUUUAUUGUUCGUAUGAAUAACUGCAAGAAAAAUAACGAAGGAGGCAAGAGGGAGCUUAAGAAGGUGAUUUCUUGGUAUGGUGAAGUGCGAAAGACAAUUCACUCAGCUGUUCAGAGGCUUAUGGACUGAAUAGCUUUGACUAUUUACAAAGGGGGAGAUUCUAGAGUCUAUGUAUUGUAAAAAGUCGAAGUGGUUGUUUCUUUUAGUUUCGCAUAUUAGUUAUUUUACUAAGUCACAGUUUUAUGCGAAGCGUAUUGUAAUAGACUCAGUAUAUUUUUUGUACACUCAGGUUUUCUAUAAAUAGGUACUGAGGAUAGAAGUAGAAAGAACUUUUGAACUCGAGUAUUCUUUUUGCUUAAAGCAUUGUAAUAAGUCUUCAUCAAUAUAAGAUCUGAUUAAUAUUUACUCGUUGUGUUCAUACUUUUCAAUCAUUCAAUCAUAAAUGCUUUCAUAAUCUCGAUAACAAUUCUCUUCACUCAUCCUCCGAAAUUAGGGUUUUCUCCACUCAGCACCAACUCACCGAGUCCAGCCGCCGACUCGUCGAGUUGGCCAUAACACGCGNAGAGUCGCGACCCUACUCGCCGAGUCCACUCAUGGACUCGCCGAGUUGCCCUUUCACAUUUACACUUUGAACCCUGAACUUGCACUCCUGAACUCGGGAUGUCACAAUUCUCCCCCACUUAAAUUAGGCUUCGUCCUCGUGGCAACACAACUCCAUAAUUACUCUCGCAAUACACCUCCUGGCAUUAACCAAACCAGGUUCCUCAAAACACAACCACCGAAACCCAACUCUUUCCCUGCGGUGUUCUGACCACUGCCUCAAGCCUGCCACUGGCCCCAUCCUCAGAUAACGACACUUAACAGCCAAGUACAACUCCAUGAUACUUCACUCGUUCCAUAUCACAACUUUCACUUAACUCAUACGAGCUGGAAUAACCCCGAUCCACCGGAAUCCCGAUCUGAGACCAACUUUAUCCACUCCAUGCUGACAGGAUGACACAUCCUUUAGCCUUAGAGCAACUCCCAUGAGUUCUCCUCUGCAAUCUCACGCCCAUGCUGAACUGGCUCUAGCAUCCCCUGGUUGGGAAAACCCGAUACACUGACGACACCUCCAAACAUCCACCCAGGAUGAAUUUUCCACCACAUACAUAAUUCCUUCAUCAAAAUCAAACUGGAAAUUCAAGAUUCCAUUCCUUCAUCCCUUCCGAGCUUCUUGGCUGUACACCUGCGUAAUUCCUUCCGCGACCUCAGCAGACAUCCGACCCGGAUGUGAUUCCAUACCACUGCCGCAACACACUGCUCAACAACCAUAAUUGGAACACCCCAAUCAUAACUCUGCACUACUGUUAUCACUUCCGUGAACUUACACUCCCUCUCGGAGCUACAUUCCUUUCCCUUUCCUUACCAAGGAAAUCCACUUGGUUGCCUUGACACUACCACAAGUGCCACGGUGCUCACCCAAUACUACACCAUUUUUUAUAGCAUAACCGCUAUCCCAUGCACCACACAUACUCUGAAUCCGCUCGCAGGGACUCCCGAGUCUACGCACUACCUCCACUUCUCAUGAUCAAUACCUGGGGCCAGACCUUCUAAUGCUAUCACAUCGCGACAUACUCGUUCCAUUUCCUCAUAUCGAUCUACCAACACAUGCAGAGUCUUUGGCAUGAUUGGACCGCCUUUCCAGGCCUUCAGCCCAUCUGGACCACUCUCAGAACCUUCAGCAGGUCUGGACCGCCCUCCAGGGCCUUCAGCCUGUCUGGACCAUUCUCCGAGCCUUCGGCCUGACUGGUACGCCCACCGGCCUUCACUCUAUCCGGACCGCCCAACUAGCAUUCAUCAUCCUGCGUUAUCCCUCCAGGAAAACUCUCCCAUGCAUAUGGUUCUAGCCCUCUAGGGGUUCCGAACUCUAUCUCCAUUCUACAUACUCAAUCUCGGCCCAAUCCCGGCCCAAUCCCAAGCCUUCCACAAUCAAUCACCCUUGGUUUGCAUCCCGCUCCGCCUGACUGACACUUGCUCAUACCAGCCUACGCUCGGCUGACAGAACCACUGUUGAAUCCCAACAGCUAAACAACCUCUCAUGCUUAUCGAUCUUCUGGAGAAUUUUCCAAUUCUCCCCCACUUAGAGCAAUGACUACCAACCACCGGUCGCCAUCACCGACCUUCCUUAUCAACCUUACACAACACAACCCUUACACGCGAACUGAUUCCCACUAGAACGAGCGACCUUCAAAAAAUCACAUAUCAGCACUGAUCCUCUCGGACUCGAAAGAAAUCCGACCUCCAGCUAACCACUUCUCAGACAGCAGAUGCUCCCCGACAUUCAGAUCAAAAGCCAGAUUCUCACUAAUAAACCUCAUGAAUGAUAACCAAUGAAAUUCCCCAACACCAAACACAUAACCCUCAAAGAACAACGAAUACAAUACCAACAAAAUCACACAAUGAGCCUAGCAGAUGCACAAUACUCCAUAAUAAUCACAAGAUAACAAGACAUCAAGAAAGAAACAUAGCCGCAGCUGCAUCUGGCACUGCGCUGACCUCCUCUGUUGUAAGCUGAAAAGCACGACCCUAAGCCCUUGGAGGCUCCGCUCCACCGUGACCUCCACCCUUAAUCCUCAAAGUGGCCGGUGCUGGAGCCUGCACCGGUCCUGCAGCAAGCUGUGGAAAGUUGACCCUCAAGUGUCCAACCUGAUGGCAAUGAUAACAAAUCCUCAAAUCUCGAACCGGGGCUGUCUGCCGGCAAUCCCUCGAAUAGUGCCCCUCCUUUCCGCACUUGCGGCAUGCACCACCGGACCUACAAACUCUGGUGUGACCCUUCCCACACUUCCCACAAGUGUGGCUGCUCUGAUCUCCCAAUCUAGAAUCAAUGGUCUUGGACCGUUUCGGCGCCGGCUGCGACUGCCCCGAAGCCUGCCUCAGCUCUCACAACUGCAACUCAAUCUCCAACUCACGCCGCCUGGUGGCCUCCUGCAACUCCAAUAAGGUCUCUCACCUCUGCGUAGACACAAACUUCCAGAUGUCCCUCUUGAGCAUACUCACAUAUCGGGACAUCUGAGCCUGCUCUGAAGCGAACUCAGGGCAAAACAUCGCCCUCUCCAUGAACAUCAUGGUGAUCUCCGUCACUGAUUCCGAAUCCUGCUUUAGCUCCAGGAAUUCUUGAGCCAACCUCUCUCUCUCAACCUGCGGAACAUAAGGAGUGCUAAAAAUCUCUCGAAUUUGAUCCCAAGAAACCACAGCCCUCUACGCAUCUAUAUAUGACCCUGUGGUCAAUCUCUACUAAUCCUUCGCCCCGAGCCUCAACAGGUUCAGAGCACACCUCACUCUUUGAUCAGCAGGGCAUGAACACGUGAAGAAACACCCCUCCACGUCCGACAACCAUCUCAUAGCAACAAUCGGGUCCUGAACUCCAUUGAAGGUAGGGGCUUUAUAUUAUCGAAGUCCCGAUGCUGAAAACCUCGACCAGCUCCUCCCCCUGCCGCUGCUACAGUCGUUUUAGCCAUAGCAGCAGCCGUCUCUGUGAGAGCCGCAUAGCGCUUAUCAAAAUACUCAACCAUGGCGGUCUUGAUCGACCCAAACAGUUCCGGAAACUCGGUCCGGAACAACGCAACAACCUCAUCAUGCAGGAUCUCACGAAUCCUAGCAUCGAACUCGCCUGUGCUCAUCUGACCAAUAGCCUUGGGUGGUACUGACCCACCCUGACCACGCUCUCCUGCUCCCGAUCCUGACCCGGAUCUGCUCCCAGCAUGCCUCGUAACCACCAUACUGAAAAACAUCACAAGAUCUCAGAUACUUCCCACUAUCCCGGGAACCAACCCCCACCCCAACCCUAGAGGUCAUGGUCUCUUUGAUAGGCAUAUGGGUCCUGUACUUUCAGUAGUACAGGCCCAUACUACCUUCCACACCUACCCACAUUUGUAUCAAGUAUUACCACAACACCCUAGUGAACAACAUACAUAACAAGCACUCAACCCUCCCUCCUAGAGGAACACCAGAAAUCUCCCACAGAAGAACCCUAGGCUAGCAGGCAUCAUAAAUCAGGCAACAUUAUCAUGAAAUCCUGAAGAUCCCUAGCCUAGUACUAGCAUGCUAUUCUAUCAUAGCACAAAAACAAAUAUCAUGUAUGGUAUUGUGGGGUUACUUACUGGCUCCUUCUGAUCGUACCUCCCCGUCCUCCUUUACUCAUUUUGAAAACCAUUUUAAAUUCUCCGUUGAAAACUCUCCUUGAUUCGAGACUGGAUUCACGCGAAUGUUCCUCCAAUUCACUCAAACCAAGGCUCUGAUACCAACUUGUAACGGUCUAAAAAUUUCAAUCAAUUUAAACUUUUCAAUAACAACCCAUUUUCAUAAAGUUAUUACAAAAAGGUUUUCAAUAUAAUGAUUAUCAGAGUCUUCCCAUAACCACAUCAUAAAACACAAUCAUGCGGAUCGGUACGAUCAUGCCUUUGCCUUGCCACGGUCUCCUAAAGAACCUGAAAACAUUAAACCACAACUGUAAGCCUGAAAGCUUAGUGAGAUACCCCCAAAAUACCAACCACCUAUACCAUACACGCACAACAUGCCAUAUCAUAACAGAACAUAGAACAACCAUGCACUUUGGGUCUACUGUGUGACUGGUCCGCCGCACCGGCCUUCAGUCCACCUGGUCCACCCUCCGAGUCUAGUCAUAUACAUCGAGUCUACAGUGUGAUUGGUCCGCCCGCACCGGGCCUUCAAUCCACCUGGUCCACUCUCUGAGUCUACAGUAUGACUGGUCCGCCCGCACUAGGCCUUCAGUCGGCCUGGUCCACUCUCCGAGCCUCGGCACGUCUGGUCCGCCCUCUUGGGGCCUACAGCCUAUCCGAACCGCUCGCUGGGCCUUCGGGAUAACCGGUCCGCCCUGGGUAUGUCGGCUUACAACACAAAGCAGGACCCGCCUCAACCCAACACCAGUCCAACAACCACGUGCACAUAGACAUUCAAUCAUAUAACGAAUCGCUUCCAAACAAACCAAUCUAACAGAUCACAUAGCAUAACAUCAUCCUAACCAGGAUACCGACCUAACCGGUCACUAGGAUAGCAUCAUCCUAUAUGCCAGGAUACCGACCUUAAUCAUGUCUCUAACAUAUACCAUCAUAACUACCGGAUGCAAACAUAGCAAAGCAAAACAUAACAACGAUACCCGGAUCACAAUCCGAUAAAGGGUCGGCCUUGGUGCCGUAGACCCUGUCGAUAUAGUGAGGAUAACUCACCUCGCAACGGUCGACUGAAAGAUAAUACCAAGAUGCUUCGACCAUUGAAACGAUCUCCACCACUAGCCAACACCAACACUGAACUCAAAACAAAUGCCAAUAAUUACCAAAAUGCCCCAGGAAGUCAAAUGGUCAACCCUUGGUCAAAGUCAAUCACCUGACUAACUCUACUCACCGAGUCAACCCGAUGACUCGCCGAGUCCCCAUGCUCAGAACUUUCCCAAUCCGCGACUCAACUCGCCGAGUCACCCCGAGACUCGCCGAGUCCCACAACUCUGAGUCCCCUCGCACUCAACUCACCGAGUCCUCCCUUGACUCACCGAUUCAUGGCUCAACCAGAAGAAGGUUAGGAACUUACGACCAGACUCGCCGAGUCCAAAAACAGACUCGCCGAGUCCAAGGCUAUCUUCAACCAACUUGCCGAGUUGUUCUUUCAACUCGCCGAGUUCCUGCCCAUCUUCAAGCAACUCGCCGAGUACACCUUUGUGACUCGCCGAGUACCUCUAGAUCUUAAUCCAUAGAGAAGCUUUCCAGGCCAUGCAAAUGAUCCAAACCUCAGAUCUACCCUUCUACAACCCAUCCAUCAAGUAAAGUGGCAAACUUUGCAUGAAUCUAAAGAUAUCUAAGCAUAAGACACUCUAGGGUUAGGGUUUGGGACAAGAUGGCUUCACCAAUCACUCAAGAACAGGGACUUCAAUGCACUCUAGACCUUCUCCAUUCCAGAUCUGAGGUAGCCACCUCAGAUCUAACCUCCAAACGCAAAACACCACAAGUUAUCUUUUCCAAAAACUCCAAAAUGAUGAAUAAUAGCCCAAGCAAUGAAAUAAUACCUCAAAGGAAAGCUCCAACAGAAGAGAAAUCCAAACCCUUGCAAAGCCCCUUGCUCCAAGCCUCUUAGCUUUCCAAAAUCUCUUCUCUAAGGUUCAAAAGCUCUUAAACCACUCACAAACGCGCCUUAGGGUUUUCUGGACUUCAAGAGAGGGUAAAGAGGCUGGGGAGAGGGUAUAAUGUCCUUUAAAUAGGGCUCAUCCUCUGAAAUUAGGAUUUUCUCCACUCAGCACCAACUCACCGAGUCCAGCUGCCGACUCGCCGAGUUGGCCACUUAACACGCGACCAGAGUCGCAACCCUACUUGCCGAGUCCACUCAUGGACUCGCCGAGUUGCCCUUUCACAUUUACACUUUGAACCCUGAACUUGCACUCCUGAACUCGGGAUGUUAUAGAAUCUAACAAAUUAUAGUAAAUGACAAGAGUUUGGUAUUCUUACAUUUACAAAAAAAAGAUUUGGAUUGUGAAAUGACAUCAUUGGAGUCAUGUUCAAUUGAUCUAUUUCACAAAAGAAAGGACGAUAGGUAAACAUAGUGUGCAUGCUUGGUGCAUGGCAUGACUAUUCUUUUUAUUCAAGUAUAAAGUUGAUAAAAUCGAAAGAAUGAGUAAUGAGUAAUCAAUGUGGUGCUUAGAUAAAAGUGUUUUUAUUUACACUAAAGAGUUUGGGGCCAUAUAGGAUUAGUAUUAUUCUUGUGCUUCACUUUACAUGUUUUGACUUCCAGAAUAACUAGGUCGUUCUUCCUGAAUGACUAAGUUAUUCAAACCAUCCACAGUCGGUCAUAUGUUGGAAGUAGAUAUGAAUCAAGACUGUCAUUAAGUUGGUUUGUAGAUGUCCAAGGUAGUGGACAUAGCAAGAGUUGCUGCAACAUUCAUGAGUGCUCAUCAGUUCUGAGUAUUGGUUUCAACCCACGCUCAUUUGAAUUAUUUCAUGGAUUUUAUCACGAGUGAAUCAUGAGACGAUAAUAUCUUAUACUCUUCAAACCUAGAGAUAUAAGCUGUUACUAUAAGUUGGUUAUACAUUAAUUGCACGAAAACGCAUUGGUAACUUAAUGUUAUAAAACGUGCCUUUGUGUAUGAUUCAACAAGUAGUAGAACAAGACAUAUGAUUCGAAUUUUAUCCAUUCCUUUUACCCUUAAAGGGAUUAAAGCGAUAUCUAUGGGCCCCUCAAUGAUUUAAUGAUGACACUUGUGAGUGCUUGGCCAAGCCACGACUGAUUUGAUUUGUUCAAUCAGUCAGUCGUCAUAAAUCGAAGAUCGGGAAACAACAAAUGGACAAAGUUGGACAGCGGCUUAAAGAGUUACAAUUGCUAGUCGGGUUAUGAAGUCGUACUUGCAAUAUUAGUUUUAGACUUAUCCAAGUGGAAGACUGUUGGAUUAGAUGUCUAAGCCGAUAACUAUUAUUGGUAUGUAGUCAACCCGAGUGUAGCAUGGUCCAUUUGGGUUGCAUAUCAUCAAGACAAUUUGUUAGGAUGGACUUUUGAGAUAAGGAAAUUUAUGGUUUAUUAAUAUAUUAAAAGUUAUAAUAUAUUAAUAUGAAAUCAUAUGUUUUAAUUAGUAUUGAUCAAGAAUUAAUUUGGAAUUAAUUUAGUGAUCAAAAGAGACUAAUUAAAUCUAUGGGGACUAAUUAUGAUAAUUAGUUAUAUUUAUAUGUGUUAGGCUUAUGAUCCAUGUUGGACCAAGUUUAUGUAUGGAUACAUAAAGAGUUGGGCCACAUGAACAAUGGAUCAUUAAAACCUAUGGGUAUGGAUUUGGGUUAUACCCAUGACUCUUGAAAUACCACACAUAUAAAUACAUGCAUCAUGACCUAAAAACACCACUUGUGGUUACAUAUGAAGUCCUUGGAGUUCGUGGGUGUUUUUGGGUGCAUGGAAUUCUCUCUCAAGUUUCACCUUUAUCCAUUGUCACACCCCAAAACCACGAACGGCGGAAACGUUCAGGGGUGGAGGACGUCAUGUACAGUAUCACAACAGUGUAAUAAAUAAACAAGCAACAACAUCAUCCAUUGCAUUAUAAGUAAAGUUUUAAUACAUGUGUGUUCCUUCAUUGUAGUANUUUCAUUGUAGUAAGACACCAAAAAUAUACAAUCAAAAUAAAAGACGAGACUUGUCUGCUCCGUCUUCUCUAAACCUGGCCAUCGUACCUGUCUACUGUUGACCUGAGAAUACAAGUUAUUUUGAAAGAGAGUAUCAGCUUUAAAGCUGGUGAAUUCAUAAGUAUUUAAGUGUCGUUGUCUUGCUUACUAAAAGCUGUUUUAAAAGUCAUGUAAACCUUUAAAUGAAAAUGAUGAUGUAUGUAUGAAAAGCCCUAGAAAAUCCCUUAUUUUCUUUCAGUUUGAGAUGUAGUCUUCUACCAAGACCCGAAUGUUUUGUUAUGUAAAAUGAUAGUUUUUCCUUUCUAUUGACUAGUACUAAAAGUACUUAGUCUAACUCAUCGUUUAUGUGAAAGUGUCACAAAAUAAAGUAAACAGGAAAAAUUACUAAUGUAAGUGUUAUCCCGAGGUACUAGGGUUAACACGACGUAUGUAACUGUUAUACCGAGGUACUAGGGCUAACACAACCUAUAUAACCUAAUGAACAUCCGAAGAUUGUCCAAUUGUCCUCUGUAGCAGCAGCAGGGCGGAGGAAGGGUUAGUCCCUGUAAAGGUACUCCUAGUAUAAGUAAUAACCGUAGGCAUCCGUAGAUGUUCAUCACCCACUGUUGCUAACAGAUGGGUUCCGGGAUGGUUAGUCCAGUCCAUAUAUCCUGAGGUACUAGGUAUAGGGGCCCAUCUAGGUAUCCCGAGGUACUAGGGAUAGGGUCCUGUCUAGAUAUCCCGAGGUACUAGGGAUAUGCAGGAAAAUUUACACAGAAGGUACUAAUAAAUCAUCCUCGCAAUUCGAGAUACAAGUAUUCAUGUUAAUAUACAUAGGUAAGUGUAUCUACGUAAAGGUACUCAUGUAAUGCGUUCAUGUAAGCGUGUUCAUGUAUCAUGUAAGUAUAUGUAAACGUACUCAUGUAUCAUGUAAUCAAAUGUAAAUGUACUCGUGUAUCAGGUAAUGUACUGGUACAGACUCAUGAAUGAACUGACUCUUGUGUGAUUCCUUGUAAUAGGAAUUAUGUUUGAUAUCUCCAAAUUAUCCCUAUGAUAAUUUACUGAAAGCUAAUUGGUUGUUCAAGUAGGUUUAUACACUCUUACUACUCAAGGGUGUGAGAAACUAAAUGAAAGUUGUAAACUAUAACCUCAAUACAUAUAUAAGAAUAUAAGUGUACAUUCGUAGUUUAGUUCAAGAAUGUAAAAUGGUUUUGUAAGACAUCUUAUGGGUUUUGAACAAUAAUUAACAAUGACUUGAUGUCAUUUUAAUAAACAUUUCAAAGGUAAAACAUUUGAUAACAAUGUGUUUUUAAGAUUUAAAACCAUUUCAUGCAUCACAUUUUGUAGUAUGUGAAAUCUGUUAAAUGACAAACACAGUUAUAAAAUACAUAUCAAUGAUUUAAUAACAUGUUUGUUUCUACUUGUAUUCCCCCCCUUNNNNNNNNNNNNNNNNNNNNNNNNNNNNNNNNNNNNNNNNNNNNNNNNNNNNNNNNNNNNNNNNNNNNNNNNNNNNNNNNNNNNNNNNNNNNNNNNNNNNNNNNNNNNNNNNNNNNNNNNNNNNNNNNNNNNNNNNNNNNNNNNNNNNNNNNNNNNNNNNNNNNNNNNNNNNNNNNNNNNNNNNNNNNNNNNNNNNNNNNNNNNNNNNNNNNNNNNNNNNNNNNNNNNNNNNNNNNNNNNNNNNNNNNNNNNNNNNNNNNNNNNNNNNNNNNNNNNNNNNNNNNNNNNNNNNNNNNNNNNNNNNNNNNNNNNNNNNNNNNNNNNNNNNNNNNNNNNNNNNNNNNNNNNNNNNNNNNNNNNNNNNNNNNNNNNNNNNNNNNNNNNNNNNNNNNNNNNNNNNNNNNNNNNNNNNNNNNNNNNNNNNNNNNNNNNNNNNNNNNNNNNNNNNNNNNNNNNNNNNNNNNNNNNNNNNNNNNNNNNNNNNNNNNNNNNNNNNNNNNNNNNNNNNNNNNNNNNNNNNNNNNNNNNNNNNNNNNNNNNNNNNNNNNNNNNNNNNNNNNNNNNNNNNNNNNNNNNNNNNNNNNNNNNNNNNNNNNNNNNNNNNNNNNNNNNNNNNNNNNNNNNNNNNNNNNNNNNNNNNNNNNNNNNNNNNNNNNNNNNNNNNNNNNNNNNNNNNNNNNNNNNNNNNNNNNNNNNNNNNNNNNNNNNNNNNNNNNNNNNNNNNNNNNNNNNNNNNNNNNNNNNNNNNNNNNNNNNNNNNNNNNNNNNNNNNNNNNNNNNNNNNNNNNNNNNNNNNNNNNNNNNNNNNNNNNNNNNNNNNNNNNNNNNNNNNNNNNNNNNNNNNNNNNNNNNNNNNNNNNNNNNNNNNNNNNNNNNNNNNNNNNNNNNNNNNNNNNNNNNNNNNNNNNNNNNNNNNNNNNNNNNNNNNNNNNNNNNNNNNNNNNNNNNNNNNNNNNNNNNNNNNNNNNNNNNNNNNNNNNNNNNNNNNNNNNNNNNNNNNNNNNNNNNNNNNNNNNNNNNNNNNNNNNNNNNNNNNNNNNNNNNNNNNNNNNNNNNNNNNNNNNNNNNNNNNNNNNNNNNNNNNNNNNNNNNNNNNNNNNNNNNNNNNNNNNNNNNNNNNNNNNNNNNNNNNNNNNNNNNNNNNNNNNNNNNNNNNNNNNNNNNNNNNNNNNNNNNNNNNNNNNNNNNNNNNNNNNNNNNNNNNNNNNNNNNNNNNNNNNNNNNNNNNNNNNNNNNNNNNNNNNNNNNNNNNNNNNNNNNNNNNNNNNNNNNNNNNNNNNNNNNNNNNNNNNNNNNNNNNNNNNNNNNNNNNNNNNNNNNNNNNNNNNNNNNNNNNNNNNNNNNNNNNNNNNNNNNNNNNNNNNNNNNNNNNNNNNNNNNNNNNNNNNNNNNNNNNNNNNNNNNNNNNNNNNNNNNNNNNNNNNNNNNNNNNNNNNNNNNNNNNNNNNNNNNNNNNNNNNNNNNNNNNNNNNNNNNNNNNNNNNNNNNNNNNNNNNNNNNNNNNNNNNNNNNNNNNNNNNNNNNNNNNNNNNNNNNNNNNNNNNNNNNNNNNNNNNNNNNNNNNNNNNNNNNNNNNNNNNNNNNNNNNNNNNNNNNNNNNNNNNNNNNNNNNNNNNNNNNNNNNNNNNNNNNNNNNNNNNNNNNNNNNNNNNNNNNNNNNNNNNNNNNNNNNNNNNNNNNNNNNNNNNNNNNNNNNNNNNNNNNNNNNNNNNNNNNNNNNNNNNNNNNNNNNNNNNNNNNNNNNNNNNNNNNNNNNNNNNNNNNNNNNNNNNNNNNNNNNNNNNNNNNNNNNNNNNNNNNNNNNNNNNNNNNNNNNNNNNNNNNNNNNNNNNNNNNNNNNNNNNNNNNNNNNNNNNNNNNNNNNNNNNNNNNNNNNNNNNNNNNNNNNNNNNNNNNNNNNNNNNNNNNNNNNNNNNNNNNNNNNNNNNNNNNNNNNNNNNNNNNNNNNNNNNNNNNNNNNNNNNNNNNNNNNNNNNNNNNNNNNNNNNNNNNNNNNNNNNNNNNNNNNNNNNNNNNNNNNNNNNNNNNNNNNNNNNNNNNNNNNNNNNNNNNNNNNNNNNNNNNNNNNNNNNNNNNNNNNNNNNNNNNNNNNNNNNNNNNNNNNNNNNNNNNNNNNNNNNNNNNNNNNNNNNNNNNNNNNNNNNNNNNNNNNNNNNNNNNNNNNNNNNNNNNNNNNNNNNNNNNNNNNNNNNNNNNNUACUAGGGUUUUAGUCUAAACCCUAAUGGACAGCUUAGCCACCAAGCAGCCCAAGGAACCUUUUGGAAUAAGGCCUUGGACGAAAAUAUGAUGGACCCCCAUCAUAAAUUUGUUCUCCCUUAAGUCCAUUAGGUUUCCUUAACCCAAAACUCAACUAUCAUACAUUUGACAGUUUAUACCCCUUUAUUUAAUUAAUCUCUUUUAGUCACCAAAAUAAUUCCUAAUUAAUUUAUGACUAAUACUAAUUAAAUAAAUAUGAUUUCUACUUUAAUAUAUUAUUCUUAUAAUAUAUUAAUAAACCAUAAUAUUCUCUCUUUCUCCUUAAAUUACCUUGUCAAGUUGCUUUGGAGAAGGCAACCCAAAAGGACCAUGCACAACCGGGUCAAGUACAUACCAAAUAUAGUUACGGGCUUAGACACUAUUCCAACAGUCUCCCACUUGGAUAAGUCUAGUAACUAUAUCUCACAUAUGACUUCAGAAUCCGAUUAGCAAUCGUAGCUCUUAUACUUCGCUGUCAACUCUGAUCAACUUGUCCUUCAGAUAAAGGAUCAUAUAAUCCUCUGUUCUGGAUAUCAUGCUGACAAUGCUUAUUGUCCAACAUUUGUUCCUCGAUUUCCGAUUUGUUUGACAUAGAAUUCAGUUGAACACAUCAACUUCAUUCUGACCGGGCCUGGCACAUAAGUCAAACCAAAUCAUCAAGUGGCCAAGAUAUCACUUUUAUUCUCAUAGAAUAAAAGGAACAAAUCAACUUUGACUCAUAUGCAUCCAUUGUUUACUAAUUGAAUUAUGCACAACAAUGUGUUUUAUAACAUCAAGUUACUGAUGCGUUUACACAUCAUCAAUGCAUAACCAACCAGCAAACAACAACCAUAUCUCUAUGUUUUAAGACUAUAUGAUAUUAUCGCUUUGCGAUUACUUAAGGUAAAACACCACGAAGUGAUACCAUCAAACUCGGGUUUAUUCCAAUGCUCAAAUCAUAUUCAUAAGCACUCAUGAACUUUGCAGCAAACCUUUGCUAUGCCCAAAAAAUUUUAGACAAUCUACAAACAAUUCAUGAAAGUCUUCAUUCGUAUCUACUUCCAAAAUAUGACCAACUGUGGACUGUUUGAAUAAUCCUAUCAUUCAGGAAGUCAAAACAUGCAAAAUCGAAACAAUAGAUAAAUAACCAACACAAGAUAGUAGCUUUACUCAUAAAUAACACAAUUUUAUUUAUUCAUCAAAUAUCAAGUACAAACUAUCUAUUACACGUUUCCUAUCUAAUCCAAACUUAUAUCAUCCUUCAGCCCACUGCUCUUAGCGUGCUGCAAGUGUUUGACCCUACUCAGUCCCCUUGUAAGGGGAUCUGCUGGGUUUUCUUCCGAUGAUUCCCUCUUCACUACGAGGAAUCCCUCUUCUACCCGAUGUAUGAUAAAAUUGUAUUUUCUGUCGAUAUGUCGAGAUCUACCAUGAUCUCUCGGUUCCUUGGUCAAGGAAACCGCUCCUUCAUUAUCACAGAAAAUUUCCAUCGGCUCCUUUAUGGAUGGCAUAACUCCAAGUUCUAUAAUGAAGUUAUUCAACCAUAUAGCCUCCUUUGCGCUUCGCUCGCUGCAAUGUACUGUGAUUCACACGUUGAAUCAGCUAUAGUCUCCUGCUUGGAACUUUUCCAAGUCACUGCUCCUUCAUUUAGGGUAAAGACCCAGCCCGACCGUGAUCGGUAAUUAUCCUGAUCCGUCUGAAAACUAGCAUUACUGUACCCUCGUACCCUUAAGUCAUCACUCCCCCCGAGGACUAGAAAUCAUUCCUUGGUCCUUCGCAGGUACUUAAGAAUAUUCUUAACUGCAAUCCAAUGGGCUCUACCAGGGUUCCCCUGAUAUCUGCUGACCAUGCUCAAAGUGAAAGCCACAUCAGGGCGAGUACAAGUCAUAGUGUACAUAAUAGAGCCUACUGCAGAAGCGUAAGGUACUCGGCUCAUAUCAGCUAUCUAUGCCUCUGUACUUGGGCUCUGAGUCUUACUCAGCUUGGUAUUGCUUUGGAUUGAACUCACCUUNUUUCCAUACUAAAACGCUUUAGUACUUUAUCCAAGUAUGUAUCCUGACUGAGUCCUAUCAGUCUUUUUUCUCUGUCUCUUUCUAUUCUUAUUCCCAGAAUAUAAGCAGCCUCUCCGAGGUCCUUCAUAGCGAAACAUUUCCCAAGCCAUGACUUGACCUCCUGCAAGGUUGGGACAUCGUUUCCUAUGAGUAGUAUGUCGUCUACAUACAAUACGAGGAAGCUCACUAUACUCCCACUGGCUUUGACAUACACACAAGAUCCAUCUUCGCUUCGCAGAAAGCCAAACUCUUUAACUUUCUCGUCAAAACAAAGAUUCCAUCUGCGAGACGCUUGUUUCACUCGGUCUAUAGAAAAGAUAGCCAAAAGACUUUUGUGGAUAGCCGAUGAAAUAACACUUCUCACUACGAGGUUCGAGAUUUUCACGAGUCUCUCGUCUUACGAAAGCCUCGCAACUCCAAACCUUAAUAUGUGCCAACGAGGGAGCCUUCUAUGUCCAUAUCUCAUGAGGAGUCUUGGUAACCUUCUUGGUGGGAACUAAGUUAAGGAUAUGGGCGGCAGUCUCUAAGGCAUACCCCUAGAAAGCUGUUGGUAACGAAGUCCGACUCAUCAUAGAACGAACCAUGUCAAACAAGUUCCGAUUACGUCUCUCAGCCACAAAAUUCAAUUGUGGCAUCCUCGGAGGCGUCAAUUGCAAAACAAUUCCACAUUCCUUUAGAUAGUCGUGAAACUCAAGACUUAGGUACUCUCCUCCUCGGUCUGACCAAAGCAUCUUGAUUUUCCUGCCCAGCUGAUUCUACACUUCAUUCUUAAACUCUUUGAACUAUUCAGAGGUUUCCAACUUUUGCUUGAUUAAGUAGAUAUAUCUAUAUCUGCUAUAAUCAUCUAUAAAAGUCACGUAGAAGCGGCAACCAUCCCUUGUGGUGGAUCUAAAGGGCCCACACACAUCGGUGUGUAUGAGAUCCAAUAGACCCUCACCCCUUUCACAAGUGCCAGUAAAGGCUGACUUGGUCAUCUUCCUAACUAAACAAGGUUCACACGUGUCAUCGUCCCUAAAGUCAAAUGACUCCAACACUCCAUCCUUUUGGAGUUGGGCUAUGCGUUUCUUGUUGACAUGGCCAAGGCGACAAUGCCACAAGCAUGCUUUGUCUAGAAUAGUAGACGAAUCAAUAUUCAAAAAUUAUUUCCUAAAUUAUCAACAACCAUCAUAGAUUCAUAAAUCCCAUUACAGAGUAAUGCAUUGAAAUAAAAGACACCAUUCAAAUAAACAUUAAUAGAACCAUUACUAUUAUCAAAAGAAUAUCUGAAAACUUUUCUAAACAACCCAUGAAAUGAAAUAAUGUUUCUUUCCAUAUUUGGUUAAUAACACCAAUUGUUUAAAUCUAUCCCUAACCCAUUACUCAACACUAAAGAAUAAACACCGACUUUGGUCACAUGUGACGAUCUUCUAUUUCCCAUAAUCAGGUUCAUCUUUCCAUGUUCCACCUCCCUACUUCUUUUUAGGCCCUACAUAUCAGAACAAAUGUGGUAACAACACCUGUAUCAAGAACUCAUGAAGUAUCAAAUGAUGAGUUAUUAGAUUUAAUAGAAUACAUACCUGCAAAGGUGGGCUUAAUCUUCCCAUCCUUUAUAUCUUGCAGAUACUGAGGGCAGCUUCGUUUCCAGUGGCCCUUUUGGUGACAAUAGAAGCACUCUACUUCCUUGGGAUCGGAGGAGGGUUUUGCAGGGCCUACUUUGGUCCCACUUGAGGACGAACCAUCACGGGGCUUCCCGUUAUGGUGGCUCUUACUUAGAGCCUUCCUCUUUUUACCCUUUCGUUGACCUAUUGCCAUCACAGGAGUGGCCACAGCAGGGGAUGGUGCAACGGAUUUGUCUUUAAGGUUGCUCUCAGCAGUCCUCAAGAGUCCUUGGAACUUUCUCAAGGAGACGUCUUCCUUGUUCAUGUGGUAGGUCAUCCUAAACUGGUUGUUGCAGGAGGGCAAGGAGUGGAGGAUUAUGUUGAUAGCCAAAUCCUCAUCAAACUUAACAUUAAGUUUGAGAAGACGAUCAACAUACCUCUAUAUUUUCUGCAAAUGAGAGGUUAGGGAUUCUCCACUCCCCAUCUUGGCGGUGAUCAUGUUAGUAUUGAUCUCAUAGUGCUCUUGCCUCGCACUCUGGUGAUACCUGUCCAGCAAAUCCUGAUGCAUUUCAUACGGGUACAUGUCUUCAUAGGACUUUUUGAGUUCGAGGUUCAUGGUGUCCAGCAUGAUGCAAUGAACAUUUGUAGCAUCAUGCUCGUGGGCCUCAAAGGCGGCCAACUCUUUAGGAGUAGAAACAUCUGGGAUGAUCUUUUCAAGCUUUUUAUCGAGGACAUAUUAUUUGUCCUCGUAGUAUGUGAUCAUGCGAAUAUACCUCAUCCACUCGUUGAAGUUUGACCCAUAAAAUGUCACUUUCUAACAUAAGUUCAUCAACGAGAAUGACCCAGAAGCGUUGUUGUUGUUUGCAGACAUCUGGAAAAGAAAGGAACAAAGCUUGAUUAGAAAUGAAUCCCUAAUUAAACACCCAAAUGAGCAAUUAGGGCUAGGAUCCAACAACAUUAUUUACAACUUAGAAAGGGAUGCCUUACUCUAAAAGUAAAUAAUUUGAAGGUAAGUGAAUGAAGAUUCACUAAUUCUCACCAUGAAAAACGAAAAAGAAAUUUAGGUUUUAAAUGUAUUGAAAACUCAUAGAUCUUUGAGAUUCAUUGAACUUUUUAAUGGCAUGUUUAAAUCUCGAUAUGCACUUCAAAUUUGCGACUGGGAUACCAAGGAUCACAAAAAAUUUGUGAAUAACCAUGCAAAUCAACAUGGUGCACUCAAUGUCUCUAUCACCUAAUCAAUGUGCCGGUAAACCACACACAUUCCAUUGAUCUAUGACAAACAUCGAGUCACCCUUCGCUACCAAUGUCAACCCCAAAUUAGUGUGCCGAUUAACCACACGCGCUUCACCAACGUUUGACAAGGGUACGAAGUGUGAUUCCAUGGAUUAGCAUCAUUUUCAGAUUUUACCCUAAAGUAACUAAGAUUAGGAAUUUGUAAAACAUGUAGUUACUUUGUAUCUAACAUUAUACUUUUAAUGAGGAGAGGGUUGCUCUAUCCUACCCGUUCGGCUAACGACCCUCCACCAGUCAAGCAAGCGGNUGUACACCCAUUAAGCGGCAUUUUAUAGGCAGCCACCUUAUACCCACCUUAUAGACUGGCUUCGUGAAUGAGGCCUACUAAUGGUAAGACUAGCACUUUAAGUUAUAUAUAUAUAAAUUAAGCUUGUAACAAUAUAAUAGUAUAGGGUUGAAUUUUAAACUUGUAACAUUCUAAGGGUUUGAAAUUUUAAUUAUUCAAAAUUAGACUUUUAAUCACAAAAUUCAAAUUUCAAAACUUGAGGGCAAGUUUUGAACUUUUCAAAACAAAAAGGGAUCAAACAACAAAUAAUUUAAAUUAAACAAUUAAUUUCAUAAUUAUCUAUAUUUUAUCUAAUCCAAUUUUAGUCAUAAGAUAAUUACCAAAUAAUUUAAAUAAUCCAUAUUUAUCAUAUAAAAAACCAAUAUUUACAAGAUUUGAAAUUAUCUAUUGUUUUGGCAAGGAUAAUCAUGCAAAUACUAUAAAAUUCAGAUUUUAUACUUCAAAAAUGAUUUAGGAAUUAAUCCCAUGACAAAACAGCAACAAAAUCCCGAAAAUCUUUCUGUCAGACGUCAAAACUCGUUGAGUCCACUUUGGAACUCGUCGAGUUCAUCAAACAGAUAGCACAAAAAUCGAUUUUCAACAAGUAAACAAUUAAAGCAUCACAUACAACAUAAACCAAUCCUGGCUCUGAUACCACUGAUGGGUUUUAUGCAUAUGAACAAUCCUAUAUGCUCAUAUAAACCCUAAAGCUUUGAUCUAGGUUUAUCUAUUGUACAUGCUUUGAAUCCAAGACUUACAAACCUAGAUCUAUCAUAUAUAAUUCGAAGUUAUCAUAAAGAAAAACAGAUCUAAGUGGUUUACCUCUUUCAAGUAGCUUGAAUCCUUGCAUUCUUCUUGAUCUUGAGCUUAGAGUCACAAUUGUAACUCCUCUAAUGGUUCACAAACCCCACAAGCAAGAAGGCAAUAUGAGAGAUGGUUAGAGAUGCUAGAAAUCGGCCCUAGGGUUCCCUUGGACUCAAGUGUAGCCGAUUUCCAUAGCCUAAGGGUCUUAUUUAUACCUGCAGGCGACUAGGGUUUCAGUCUAAACCCUAAUGGACAGCUUACCCACCGAGCAGCCCAAGGAACCUUCUGGAAUAAGGCCUUGGACGAAAAUAUGAUGGAUCCCCAUCAUAAUAUCGUUCCCCCCUUUAGUCCAUUAGGUUUCCUUAACCCAAAACUCAACUAUCAUACGUUUGAUAGUUUAUACCCCUUUAUUUAAUUAAUCUCUUAUAGUCACCAAAUUAAUUCCUAAUUAAUUUAUGACUAGUACUAAUUAAAUAAAUAUGAUUUCUCCUUUAAUAUAUUAUUCUUAUAAUAUAUUAAUAAACCAUAAUAUUCUCUCUUUCUCCUUAAAUUACCUUGUCAAGAUUCUUUGGAGAAGGCAACCCAAAAGGACCAUGCAUAACCGGGUCAAAUACAUACCAAAUAUAGUUACGAGCUUAGACACUAUUCCAGUAGUUAUAGCUUUAAUGCCUUGGAAACCAUUUGCUUGUAUAAUUAGUGAAAACAUAGGUCCAAGGUAUUUAGGGUUGUAUGUGCACCAUAGGGUGACACGCAAGUAGCCAAUAAUCAAGUACCCGACAGUACUUUAACUGGUACCGAGAUCGUUCGAGAAACAACAGAGAAAAUCGUCUAAAUACGAGAACGUCUAAAAGCCUCUAGAGACAGACAAAAGAGUUAUGCGGACAAACGACGAAAACCGUGGGAAUUUUAGGUUUGUGACCACGUCCUGUUAAAGGUCUCACCGUGGAAAGGAAUGAUAUGUUUUGCCAAACAUGGAAAAUUAAAUCGAAGGUACAUCGGACCAUUCGAGAGUAUUUCUAGAAUCGGUCCGGUUACAUAUAAACUCAAUCUACUGCAUGAACUCAGUUAACAUUCAUCCCACUUUUCACGUAUCCAAUCUAAAGAAGUGCCUGUCUGACGAGACUCUUAUAAUCCCACUCGACGAAAUCGAUUUAAAAGAGAGUCUACACUUUGUAGAAGAACUAGUGGAGAUCAUGGAUAGGGAAAUCAAGAGAACAAAACAAAGUCGUAUACCAAUAGUGAAGGUUAGUUGGAAUGGCAAGCGGGUACCUAAAUUCACUUGGGAACGAGAGGAUCAAAUGAAACAAAAGUACCCACACCUUUUCCCUAGUUUAUGAGUACCACUUAAGAAACAAUUUCGGGACGAAACUCCCUCUAACGGGGGGAUAAUGUAACAACCCGUUAUUUCAACGCAAUGUAAGUCAAACAUAUUCAAAUAAAAGUCUAAAUAGUAACCGUGUACAAGUGAAUCACGUUGAUAUAAUAAAAACUUCAAAUGCCAUAAAGGCAUGUUUAUAUAAGUAUUGUAUGAGCAUGCUUUGAAAACCAUACAUACAUAAGUUAUAUAUACUUAUAGAUAGAAAACCUUGCAUACAUAUGUUUGUGUAGGUUGAUUUGGUUAUAUAUAUAAUAAAUACUAUGAUGAAAUAUGAUAAAAUGAGUCAACAUAAGUCAAAAGAUUUAAGUUGAAAACAAAACAUAUGUGAUUUCGUUUUUUGGUAUCUUGAAUCAAAUUGGUUUUCGGUUUCAGAUGUCCACUAAGGCCAAAAUCUCCUUCAUAGGAGAACCGAGGACCAAAAUCACUCCAUGAGCACACCUUAGGACCGAAAUCUAUACCAUGUUACACAUAUGGACCGAAAUCUCAUUUGUAGGAACCACUUAGGACCGAAAACACUUCUUGGGUCAUGUCUAUGGCCAAAAAAUUAACCCUUGGACCAUACCAAACCGAAAUCUAACCACUUUAUGGCCGAAAACACCCAUAAAAAUCUAGAUAUUUUACUUGAUUUAAGUUCCCAAUGUGAUAAUUCCAUUUACCAACGUAAACAUCCCCUCAACCGCCUAUCCUUUCCUUCCCAUGUAAGAUACAAAUUGGAAAAUUUUAAACACUUCCAGUAAACAUUUUACACUUCCAUUCUCUAACAAAUAUCAAACCAUAUUCCUUCCAUUCUAUAAAUUUCAAAGAUCAAACUUCCUUGGAACUUCUUUUCUUCAAGCUAUAUCCUUAAGAAAUCAUUGUAAGUCCUUAUAAACUAGUGUUAGUACAAUCAUAUUUAUGUUAGAUCAUAAUAUUUACACAUUAUUAUGUGUUUAAAACAAUUAGGACACGAUUAGCUUCCCGUGUUGUAGCUCGAAGUCACCGUUACUAUCUUAUUAACUAACUGCGACUACGUACAAGGUGAGUUCAUACCCCUACGUUUUCAUGAUUUUUCACUAUUUUAGGGGGGAAUACAAGUGUAACACAAGAAAUUUUGUGUUAAUAUAUAAAAUGAUUUCAAAUAAGGUCAAUCAUUGUCGUUAUUAAAAACACAUAUUUAUAUAUAUAAAUUAUAUAAUUAAGAUUCAACAGGCUUAGGAUUGUUGAUUUUGCUCUAUUUUCUGUUCCUUGUUUGGUUGUGGGCUUGGGGUAUAAUUAUUUAUUCGACCGCCUUUUUAAUCGUAAUUAUAUAAAUAUUAUAUUUAUAUAUGUAUAAAAGUAUUUAAACUUGUUAAGCAAAAAGAUUAUUUUUGCAAUCUAUUUUACUAUCAUUUGGACAUAAAUGUUAAAUUUACUAAACAUAUUUAUCACAGAUUUUACUAUAUAAACUUGGAAAAUGGUUAACAAUACAAAGGUUUUCAUUUCAGUAGAACACACACACAUAAACUAUAAUAUGUAUAGUUUAUGGAACUUACAUAUCAUUUUACCAAGUUCGAGAUAUAAUACAGAAAGAAACAUAUAAACUAUAAUAAGUAUAGUUUAUGGAUCAUAUGCACUAUAUUACCAUGUUUAGAAUACAACAUGAAAAACAAACAUAUGAACUAUAAUAAAUAUAGUUUAUAAGUACAUAUAGUUAUUUAUUACAAAAGGACUUUUCAUUAUUCUACACGUAACCGUCAAUAUAGCUUUGUGAGACAUAGUUCACGUACUUAUCUAAGUACUAACGAAAGCCCUGAAAUUAUUACCAGAGUCUCCUAGAGGGAGAGCAUGACACUUUUGUAUAGAUAUAUAUGGGAGUGAUAAUCCCGCACCUUAACUAUUAGCUACAGUUAGGUUGGCAGGCUUGGGGUGACAAAUGUCGUACCGAUUGCGAUGCCUGAAGAACAUCGUGUUCAGUCCAACUUAGGUUAUCAAGCAUGGUUAUGAUAACUCACAAUUGGGUAUUGAACAAUAUGAUUAUUGUAUGAAUAAUGAAACAAAUUCAUAGGGUUUUAUUUAAUAAUGAAACUAUAAUAUUGUAUUUUACAGUACCGCUGGUGGGUCCAGGCACAUAAACUCACAUAAUUUCAAACAAGUACUACUACAAUAUAUUAAUUUCUUAAUACAGAGAAACUUACAAUUUUAGGAAACAUUCCUUUUAUGGUUUUAUUAUACGAAUUAAAACUACAUCAUACUAUUUUGGAGUACAACAACAUCUACACGUUUUUGGUCUUAGGGUAUUAAGACUAUAACGCAUUUACAAGAGAAAAUAUAGGAUUUUCUGGGAGAAUAUACUUACAAUUUCAAGGAACAAAUGACAAUUUUCAAUUAUAAACAUGCUUAUGAACUCACCAAUUUAAUUGUUGACACUCUUUUCAAAACUACUUGUAUUCUCAGGAAAUCAAUAAUCAGGUACUCACGGGUUUUGAGAAGACGGAGCUUCAUAGUGUCACAUCUUUUAGUCUUUGCUAUACAUUUUGGUGUCAAGUAUACAUUGGUUUGAACACAAAUGUAAAACAAUACUUUAUUAAUGUAAUGGUUGUUGUACUUUGAUUACUAUUAUGUAAUUGUUGUGAUACUGAACAUGACAUCAUCUGCCCCCGAACGUUCCGUCGUUUCAGUUUGGGGGGUGUGACAUCUUCUAAUAUUCCAAGUGGUUCUCUCUUCCUUUUUCUUCCUCUAUGAACACCAAAACACACACCAAUGACCCAGGAAUGCUCAAAACGAAUUAGGGUUUGCAAAGGGUCUGAAAUGGGGCUAGAGGCUAAUGAAAGGAAGAAGACUUGAGGGUUAACGAUGUUUAAAUAUGGUCCAAACCCUAAAAAUUAGGGUUUUCACCUAGCCACUUACGCCCAAUGUAUUUGGGGUUAUACCUAGCGUAUGCAUGCCUUUUCAAAAAAAAAAUACAAAAAUGCCACUAAGGGCCAAAAUGCAGUUAAUUCUCAUAGCAAGGGUUAAAAGUGGAAAUGCCUUUAAAUCAAGAUGUUGCAUAUUACCGUUCCACACCAGUAUAAGUUAAAAUGAGUGUUUGGAUAGUCUGAUUUUUAAAAACAGCUUAUAACAAUGUGAAACUGGAGAUAAGUUAUUUUUGAUAAGUUACUAACCCCUAACUUAUGAAAACUCCUUAUAAGAUGUACAACUUUAGGAAGCCUCUUUUGGUCAUCUUGUAAAAGUCUUAAAAGGGAUUAUCAACUUAUAGCGUUUUGAUAUCAAAUAAGCUAAUCCAAACACUCUUUUAAAAACAUCAUUUUGACACCGCUAUAAGAUUAUAAGCUAUUAGAUUUAAAGUGAUAAACACUUUUAAAUAAGCUUAGCGAGACACCCUCUAAGAUAUUAUGCUCCUCUAUCAGAUUGGAGCAUAUUUAUCUUCUUGAACGAUUGAUUCUUUACUUCGUGCUUAAACUCUUUGAAAUUUUCAAAACUUUUGAUUUAUGCUUGAUUACAUAGAUAUAUCCAGACUUACUAUAAUCACGUAUUAGUGAUUAUCAUCCAUUGUGGCAGAUCUGAACAAUCCACAUACAUCAAUAUAGAUAAGAGCCACUAAAUCUUCUCCUCUUUCACAAGUACCAGUGAAAGGUAACUUAGUCGUCUUUCCCAAAAAAACAAUAUUCACAUUCAUCAUCUGAUUUUAGGUCAAACAAUUUCAACACUCCAUCAUUUUGAAGUUGGGCGAUGCAUUUCUUGUUGAUGUGCCCAAGACGAAAAUUCCAUAAACAUACUUUGUCUAAACUAUUAGAAGAAUUAAUGUUAUUAACAUUAUUUCCUAAUUCAUUUACACAAACAAUGGUUUCAUACACAUCAUCACAAGGAUAAGCUUUGAAAAUAAAUGCUCCAUUAUGAUAAAAAAAAAAUAUACCAACUUUAUUAUCAAAACCAUAACGUAAUCCUUGUCUAAAUAAAGCAUGAAAUGAAAUAAUGCUUCGAGCCGUUUCUGGUGAAUAGCAACAAUUGUUUAAAUCAAUUCUAACACUAUCAAACAUGAGCUUAUAAGUCCCAUUCCUGGUAACAACCAACUUUUGCCUAUUCCACGUGAUCAUGUUUAUCUUCUCAUGCUUGACCUCUUCACUUUCCUUUAGCCCUUGUAUACUAGAACAAAUGUGGAAACCACAUCUCGUAUAAAGGACCCAAGAAUUUGAAAUACAAGUGUUACUGAUUUGAAUUGAGAACGUACCAGAAGAGACAUGCACUUUGUCCUUAGCUUCUUUCACUUCUUGGAGGUACUUAGGGAAACAUCUUCUCCAAAGGCUCUUUUGUCCACAAUGAAAGCACAUAGCCUCUUUUGGCUCCCCAAUAGUUGGAGUAUCGAAGUUAGGCUUUCCCUUUGACCCACUAGACUCUCCACUGUGGGCUUUUCCUUUCCGCUUGGGUUGGGAAUAAACAUUUUUCUUCUUACCUUUUCCUUGUUGGAUGGUUAUGACCGAGGCAUUUGCAACAUUAUUGGAAUGAGACUUUUUCAUUCCUGCUUAGUUGUCUAUAAUAAAUUGUGAAUCUCAAUCAACGUGGUCUCGGUAUUGUACAAAUGAUAGAUCAAGAUGAACUGAUCAAAACUACUAGGUAAGGAGUUUAGCACCAUGUCAAUGGCAAGCUCCUUAUUAAAUUUCCCGUUGAGCUUGUCCAAUCUUUCUACAUGCCUCAUCAUUUUCUACACAUGAACGCACAAAGAUCUCCCAUCUUUCAAAUUCCAUGCCAUGAGGGCCUUGACGACUUUCUAGCGCUCUUGUCUAGCUUUCUUGAGAAAAAAUUUAGAGAAAGCUUGAUUCAUUGCAUAAGGUCAAUAGUCCUCAUAAGUCUUUUGGAGCUCAGGUGCCACAGUUGCAAUCAUAAUGCAAGUGAACUUUGAUGCGUCGUCAACAUGUUGGUUAUAUUAAACCAUUUCUUCAGUAAUAACAUAUUAUUGUUAGUUUCAGGAACUAGAGUGUACAACAUACUUUUUGUUCUCAUAUCUCAAUGUCAUUUUCAAAUUUUGCAACCAGUCUAUGUAGUUAUGACUAGUGAGCUUGUAUUUUGAAAGUAUAAACAAAAGAGUGAAGUUGCGAAUUGUUGGAAGAGGAGGAACAUCGUCAUUUCCAGACAUCUAAAACAAGAGACAUGAUUUUAGUUAGUUGAUUUAAUUCCUUAAUAUUUUAACCCAAAUCAACAUUCAAGGAUAGGAUCCAAUAAUGCAAUUCGAAAUUAAUAAGAAGGAUGUCGUAGUCUAAUUGCAAAUUCUUUUUACGCAAUCUACCAAUUUUAAUCUAAUAUGAAAUUCCUAAAUCAUUUGAGAUUCAUUGAACUUUUCAAGGGCAUGUUUAAUCUCGAUUAUGCUCUUCAAUUUGUGACUGGGAUGCCAAAGAUCACAAAUAAGAUGUGAAUAACCAUGCAAACCCAGUUAACAUCACGACAUCCCAUAAUUUAGGUCAAAGACUGUGAACGGUCAAGUUCACAGCAAAUCUCUUUGUAAUUUGAUUCAUUGAGUUUUAGUGCAUUUUUUUUAUAAUUUAAAUGAGUCCAGUUCAACUAAUAUAAGAUACCGAAUGCUAUAGUUCAACUAAUAUAAGAUACCAAAUGCUAUACUAAUUCCAAAUGUGUAAUAUGGCAAACAAAUCAAACAAGUUCAACUGCAACCUUAGGAAUACGUUUGAAAAACUAAAAUUUUGUAUUAAGGAGUUGUAGUAAUACAAACACUCAAAUCUCAUAGUACGUGUUUCCUUGAUUCCGAAAAUACAAAGAACGUCCAAAACGGAGUUCGUAUGCAAAAGAUAUGAUCGUUUUAAGAAUCCAAAACCAGUAUAAUACUGAUUUUCUUAAAACCGCUAAAACCGUUUUUAUCCGUUGAGGGACUUGCACAUCUCAAAUGAAAAUUCCGAAAUCAUUUUUGAACUCAGGCUAUAGCCUAAUAUUUAAUUUCGUAUUUGAAAUAUUUUUCGUAAAAAUAUUUAUAAGAUUUGAAAAACCGGACUUUUUCAGAUUUAUUAAUCGCGAAACAUUAAACUAUUAAUUUCGCUAUGAUUUCAAUUAUUGACAAUACAAUCGAGAAAUAAUAUAUUAUUAUCCAAUCCAACAAAUGUGAGAUUUAACGAUAAAGAUAACACUAUAUUUUUAAUUUCGAGUCUAACCAUUUAUAUUGAUACAUAACUUAUAACUUGUGAUCAACUAUAGAUAAGUUAUUAUAGAUUUUAUAAAUUAUACAAUAAAUAAUGUAUUAAUAAACUUUAAAUGAUCGUAAUCUGUAUCUAUUACUAAAUAUCAAAAUAUUUAUAUAUGUUAUGUAUAAUUUCCAAAUACCAAUUAACAAUAUAUGCCACAAAUUGGACACUGAUUAUGUACAAAUCUCAAAUCCUUUAUAUAUCUCACGAAUAUGCAUUAUAAACUCUUAAUAUGAUAGUGUAUAAAUAUUGUGUACAUGUUAUUGUCGUAAAAUAUCUCCAACCAAUACACACAUGCAUACAUUAUUAUUAAAACAAAAGGUUUACAUUAAAUCUAUUAGAAAUAUAUACCAAUACAUACCUAAUUAAAUAAACACACCAAUACAUACUCAUUAAACUAAUACAAUUCAAGGAGUAUAUACUUGGCUAAAAUGAACACUACAAGUUUAACCAAAAUGGCUAAAAAUGAACACUACAAGUUUAACCAAAAUGAUUUAUACAAAUUAACCAAAAAUCCUUCCAAGAUUAUUAAAGUACAAUAAACACUCCGAAGGUUUUUUUUUUUUUUUUUUUUCAAAAUCUAAAAAAAAUAAAUCACAAAAAAAAAAAAAAAAAAAAAAAAAAAAAAAGAAAGCCAAAUGAGAAGGGAAUGGUUUCUCCCAUUAUUCUCUCGCUGAUCUCAAUCUAUCUCUCGUUUCUACCUCGAUUCCACCUUCGUUUUUCGUUACAUUCUUCCCCUGUGAAACAAUAAACCCAAACACCCUUUCCCCCGAUCGAUUUCUGUCAAGACAAACGAAAAAAGCAAGAAGAUCACCUGUUACCGAUCGGAGCAACACCGCUCACAACCUUCAUUUCUUCUUCCCGUCGAGCUCCGCUGCCCAACACACCACCUGCGACGUGAUGCUGAUCGACCGGACCCCCAUCGGACCUCCUUUGCCCUCGCUCUCCUUCUCUUCUGCUCGCAUCGCUUCAGGCGAUUCAGUUCUCCCCUUUCGCUCCUCACACAUCAUCAUCGGUCCAGGAAGAAUGCCUCGCUGCUCCUCCCUCCUCCCCUUCGGUCUUAUCGACCCCGGAGACGCAACCUCCGCCUGCAAUCGAUCGGAAUCCGUCGGACCUCGCAGCCAUCUUCAUGCCUCCUUCUUGACUGCCGACGAUUCGUUUGUACACUCUAUCUGCUUUCGUUCGUUACUUCAUCCUUCAAAACAGAAGACGGGCUAAAAAGCCCUAAUUUUUAUUAAAUAUGGAGCAUUAAACACAAUCAGCCCCUCCAUGAAAUUCCUUUUUAUAAAAUCCCUAAUUUCAUUCAACUUUGAUGAAAUAACCAAAUUACCCCCUUAUUAAAACACUUAUUCGAAAUCAGUCACAUUCCACAAAUAUUGGACCCAUUUAUUAAAAAAAAAAAAAAAAAAGAAGAAAAACCCCUCCUCGGUUAUUUUUAGCAAAACAGAUCCAAAUAUUCAAACAUUAAUCCCAUUUGAACCAUUUCAGUCCCUCUUUUUAUUUAUUUUAACCAAAGUAGUCCUAUUUUGAUUAAUUAAAUUACCCAACAGCCCCCAAUAGUUUGAGUUGCUUACGAAACGGUCCUGGAAAUAUUUCAAAGUUCAUGAAACGUGACUUUGCGGUAUCUCACGUCAAGCUUCCUAAAAACAAACGAACUUUGAACAACUCAAACUCAUGCUUCAAGUGUGAGUGUUUACGACCCAUUUUUAAUAUUUUAAUUAUUUCCGAGGGGGGGAUACAUGUGCCUAUAUAUCUUGUUUAUACAAAUAUAUUAUCCUUUGUGCGACAAUACAAUAAAUCUAGUUUUAAAAAAUGUUAUUUAGCAAUUUUAACAUAUUGUUACAAAUAAACUACAAUAAACUUUUUGUAUACGUAUUAUGGUUAUUUUAUCAUGAAAUAACAAGUCCACACAACAAAUGCUACAUGAUACAAGCAUAUACGAUUUUAAUGUGACAUUGUAUAUAUAACAACCACGUUAUAAAAUUUUGUGGUAUUUCAAGGAUUCAAGCUAUUACUAUUUAUGUAUAUUCAUAUGUUUAAAUACAUAAAGUUUAUACAUGUACAUAUGUUCAUUACUUUGAAACAUACAUAAUAUAAAAAGAGAAUACAUUACACUUUUACAUGCAUACCAAACAUACUCGGCUUUUAUAAACUUUAUACAAUGAAAUUCAUUAUGCCUAGUGACUUAACCAUAAUUACGUUAGUGCUGAGAGCUAUUCACAUACAUUUUAGUUAAGGUCUUUUCAGUGAGACUAUAUUCAUUAGUUGAGUCUAAACACAUAGCAUACACACACUAGUAUAAACGUUAAUCUUUGGAGCGAGAUAUAUAUGUAUAAAUCUAUAAGGGGUUGACAUCCCCACCUGCGGUUGCUAGUUAGAAUCAGACCAAUCAAUCGAAUCGGGUGAUACGUGUCUACAAUCAUUACUAGUACAUUGUGUAAUAAAAGUGAUAUUGGGGGUAUAUACAGUCACAUAGCUUAGUUAUAGGACUCACUAUAAAUAUUAAUUGGAAUCUUUAUAUAUAUAUAUAUAUAACACCUAGUUUCGAAUUGUUUCCCAUUUUGGAGUAGUGAUAAGGGAUUAGGUAUUAGCGGACUUUGGACCCUUGAAGAAUUGAGAUUUGAACUUAUUUGUGCUUGGAAAAUGUAAUUUGGAUUAUUCGGGUAUUCGGUUUGUGUUUUUGAGUCAAAGUGUAGUUCAGUAAUUUGUUAGCUUAGGAUUCUAUGGAAAAUGGAUGUUUGUUCGGGAUUUGGUAAUAUAGGUACGAGUUGAUGGAAUUGUGGAGCUUCUCGUUACUUUUUCAUGAAUAUAAGGAUCAUCGGAAACAGAUUUAUAACGAAGAAGUUAUGGUCUUCAGACUAUAUUAGGGUUUGUGAGAAAACCCAAGUACGUGGGGCGUACUCAUGUGAUGGGCGUUAUGCUGCACGUAAUGUUGAGCACGCCUAGCGUACUACGAGGGUCAGAUUGGGUUUGUGAGACCUCGUGCAUUGGGUGUACGAGGAGUACGCGACACGUACGGAGGAAAGGUGAAGAACCCUAAUUCUUGGAGUUGUACCCUAUAUAAUCUCAUUAAGUAUUUUUGGGUUGAUCCCUAUACCAGCCUCCAAGUUCUCAAAACCCUAGAAAUCGUCUCCAUGCCUCCAUGGUUAUAAUUUUGAGCUCAUGAUGUGCAUUUUGGUGUUUUUUGGGUCAUUUCCAAGAGGAUGGAGCUUGAUGGAAGGUUGUGAAUCUAGGAUGAGCUUAUAGAUCUGGAUUAUAUGCUUCAUUUCCAGCUUGUUUGAGGUAAAAUCUUUGAUCUAGUUCAUUUUUGGCUAAGAUCUAGUUUAUAUGAGUUUUCAUUCAUUUUCGCCCCAAGAAUGAGAUAUAGUGAUUUGGUACCACUCCAGGAGCUAUGAGUUGCCAUUCUUGGUGUUUUUGAGGUUCUAGAUGCUAAAAGUUGUCUCCUUUAGGGUUUGGAAUCCCCCAUGCAUGAGAUGGUGUCCAUUUGGUGAAAGUAUAAUAUUUUAUUUUGAUGUUAGGUUCUUUUGGGGCAUGCAAAGUCAUCAAGUCAAUGACUUUAUGGUUCUAGACAUUGUUUAAGAAGUAGAUAUCUGGUUUGGACUCCUGGACUCGAGCAUUAAGUGCUUAGUGGAGUUUUGGCUUAAUGGAUGAGUAUGCUGGGCGUACAAGUCUACAUGCGCAGCGUACAAGCAAAAUUAUAUGUACGCUUAGCGUACAACUAAGUACGCCCCACGUACUCAGUCAGGAGGGUUUUGGCUUUUGGGCUUCGUGUUAGGCCUCCUUUUUGGGCUUGGGUGUUUGAGUUAUUAAUGAGCCAUCUGAGUAUAAGUGCCUUGGACUAGGAAUUUUGGUUGGGCUUUAGGGUAAGGCCCAUGUAAGGGGUUUGGGCCGAAUUUGGAAAAUUGGGACAUAAUUGGGCCUUGGUUGGUUACUUGGAUUUUGGGCCUUUCAGGUUUUGAGUUGGGCCUUGGUCUUGGACCAAGCUAGGUUAGGGGUAAAAUGAUCUUUUUACCCUGAGUAUGGAUUUAUGGUUGUGGUUUGGAACCUAAUUGAUAAUUGGGUGUUGUUUUGAUUUUGACAAUUCAGAGAAUCUGUCAGCCAACAUUCAGUGAUUGUCUGCGUGUUUCGGCAGUGCGAGGUAAGUUGUCCUUACUGUACUUGCGGGUCAUUGGAUUGAUAUCAUGGUAUGCAUGAUACUAUACUGUUAUGAUCUGUUAGAUCGGUAUCCUGGUAGAUAGGAUGUUGCUAUGUUGUUAUGAUCUGUUAGAUCGGUAUCCUAGUAGACAAGAUGUUGCUAUGCUGCCAUGAUUUGUUAGAUCGGCAUCCUAUUAGAUAGGAUGUUGCUAUGCUUAGUGAUCUAUCGAUCUAACUGAUCGGUUGUAGAGUGUUAUAUGACUAUCUGUUAUAUGUGCACAUGUUUGAUUGGUGGUUGAGGCUUCUCUGAUUUGUUUGUAAGCUAAUAGGCUGGGGCAUUCCAACCUGAUGGUUGAUUGUGUCUAUGGGUAUUCUAUCCCGAGGAUGAUUGGAUCCAUAGUAUAUUGGCAUUCCAACCCGAUGGUUAAGGGCAUGGGGUAUUCCAACUCGAUGGUUGACUGGACCCAUUGUAUGUUGGCAUUCCAACCCGAUGGAUGAGGGGCCUGGGGCAUUCCAACCCGUUGGUUGAUUGGACCCAUAGUAUGUUAUUUGUUGUAUAUGUUAUCUAGUGUGUGCUGGUACUUUGGUGGAAACUCACUAAGUUUUGUACUUACAAUUUUUGGUUUGCAGUUUCAAGUGUUUCAGAGAUUCAUGGCAAGGCGAAGGCGUGACCGUACACAUCCUUAUUUUAUGUCAUUGAUCUUUGGAGGCAUUGAUUUUCAAAUAAUGUUUUGAGAACACUAUUUUUGUAAACAUUUUAUUAGUAAAAGGAUCAUUUUGAAAAGUUUAAAAUUGUUAAAAUUGUUGGGAUGUUACAAGUUGGUAUCAGAGCCUUGGUUUGAAUGAAAUGGAGGAACACUCAUGUGAAUCCAGUCUCAAACUAACAAAAAGAUGUUUUCAUAUGAUUAUGUCAUUGGUCAAUGAGGAUGAGAUGUGUAUGAUUAGUCAGAGCCAGUAAGUUCACCCCCAAAUUACCACACAAUUAUUUUGAUAUUAUGCUUUGAUAUGUUAGAACCACAUUCUAGUAUUAGGAUAGGGAUCUUCGGAGCUAUAUGAUAGAAUUGCCUACUAUAUGAUGCCUUAUAUCAUAUAGACUCUCUGAUUGAUUAUGGUAUGGCUCUUUCGUCUAUGACCUGGUUAUUGAGUGAAUGUGCUAAGUCACAUGCUACAUGGUUUAAAUGAUCUUAGGAUAAGGGGUUUGGUACUACUGCACAGCUCUUCUCUGAGUCUAACUGUUGUGUGAUUGAACCUUUUAGCCUAAUAUUGUUUAAAAUUUAGGUCAUGUGAUUGUAUUCAUGUGAUAGGUUCCUGGCACCAAUAGAGGAUCACGCAGAAAUUUGUAGUAGGGUGAGUGUGUAGGGUCAGCCGGCCAGUUGCAUUAUCGGAUGAGGAGGUUGUGUUUUCCUUAGAGUGGGUGCGGUUCAUAUUGGGUCAACGUGAGAAAUGUUUUGUCACUCUUGAGAGAGUGAGAGUAGAGAAAAGGUGCACCCGAGAUGCUGGUAAAUAGAUGUCGAGAGUUUUGUAUGAGGAUAUGUCUGAAUUUUUUGUGUUUAGUGCCAAUUGACUCCUCUGAUAAAAUGAUGCAUGCUUUGUGCCUUGUGGAACUCUUAGGUGAUGGGAGUUAGCUACUAAGUGAAUAUGUCAAGUCACAUAUGACAAGGGUUGAAUAAUCUUAGAGUGAUGGAUUUGACCUUAUUGUGUAGCUCUUGUCUAAGUCCAACCGUUUUAGGGAUGAGUCAGUUACUCGAACGAUUAGCUAAUCUUUGUCGCAUGUGAUUGUAUGCAUGAGGUGGGUGGCUGCAUUAUUAGGAGUUCUUCAGUAGCUGAUGGCAGGAUAAGGUCAGAAACCUAGCAAAGCCUAGGGAUUGCUUCAGUAGGUUUUGUUGCGCUAGUUAGCAAGUAUCGGUGUAUGGAUUUGAGAAGGUGACUUAGAGAAUUCGGGAGGAAUCCAUCAGAUUUAAGGGAUAAGAGAACUUCGUCGAAUCCAAGCGGGGGAGAAUCGAUCUGGAUUUUCUACAAGGUAGGAAGGGUAUGAAUGACGGGUUUUACACAUAGCAAACAACCCUAUGUGUGCAUGCAACCCUAAUUUGAGGAUCUAUGUUUUCACUAUUAGACACACAAGCAUUGAACAUAAAACUAGGAACCCUAGCAUGCAUCUAAUAAAAUUCGAAAUCAACAUAGUAAACAUUAGAUCGCAUACCUUUAUUGCUAUAUAGUAAUAAUAAUGAUUCCUUGAAGAUCUUGAGCUUUGAGAACAGUUACCACAAGUGUAGUACCUCUAAUGGCUCAUAAACACACUAGGGCAAGAGGAUGAUUAUAAGAGACAAGAGAGACGAGAUACUUGCUCAGAAUUUUGGCUAUUUUAGGGGUUCUUGGAGGUGCUCGAAAUCAUGAGGGCUAGGGGUCUAUUUAUAGUUGAGGCAGCUAGGGUUUUGAGGUGGAAAAUCCCUAAUCCCUUAGCUUAGGGCCUAAGCAGCCCAUGGACUCCCUUCCUCGAGACUUGGACGAAAUCCUCUAGAAUAUUCUAAGGAUUUUCAGCACUCCAUAAUAAUGGUGAUCCAGGAACCCAAAACCACAACUAUCAAAUAAUUGCAAAACAACCCCUAUAGUUUUAAUCAGUUCAUUUAAUCCCAAAUUUAAUUCCAAAUUAACUUCUGAUUAAAUACAAAUUAAUAAUAUGAUUUCUAAUUAAUAUAUUAUUCUCACAACAUAUUAAUAAAUCAUUUUAUAUACCAAUUUAUUAUUCCAAAUCAUAAAUUCAACCUCUCUCUCCAAUAGUCAUCCUGUCUAGCUGCUAGUGUGAAGGCAACCAAAAGGAUAAUGCUAGUAUCCAAUUAAGUACAUACCAAUCAUAUUUAUGGGCUUAAACACCUAAUCCAACAGUCUCCCACUUAGAUAAGUCUAAUACCUAUUAUUGCAAGUAUGACUUCAAAAUCUGACUAGCAAAUGGUAGCUCUCAAAGCCGCUAUCGAACUCUGACCCAUUCAGUUAAGUGUCCUAAGAUAAGGGAUCAUAUAAUCCUCCAUUAUGCAAGAUAUCAUGUUGAAAAAUGACAUGGAAUAGAAUAAUUCUCAUUUUCCAACAGUUUGUUUCCAGAUUUCUGAAUUGUAAUGACAAAGAACUUAAUUGAAUACAUCAAUUCAGUCCUGACUGGGCCCGGUACUUAAGUCAACACCAAAUCAUCGAGGGGCCCAAGAUAUCGGUUUUCCUAUUAGGGAAAAAGGAACAGAUAAACUAUGACUUAUAUGCUUGCUCUAUUUAUUCAUCAAAUCAUGCACAAAAAUAUGUUUUAUAACAUCAAGUUGCUGAUGCAUUUACGCAUUAUCAAUGCAUAACCAACUCAUAAACAACAACUCAUACAUCUCCGUUUAAAAAUUAUAUGAUAUAUAUUCUCGUCUCAUAAUUACUCGUGAUAAAUUCUAUGAAGUAAUUCUAUGAGCAUGGGUUUAAUCCAAUACUCAAAUUCCAAUUUCAAAAGUACCCAUGAAUGUUGCAUCAAACCAUUGCUAUGUCUAAACACUUAGACAAUCUACAACCUGAUUUAUGACGGUCUUAGUCCACUACUUACUUCCAAAGCAUGAUCGUCUGUGGAUAUUUGAAUAAUCCAAUUAUUCAGGAAGUGAAACAUGCAAAAGUGAAACACAAUUAUAAACAAUUUUAAAAAAGAUAGUAAACAAUACUCAUAAAUAAUUCUCCAUUCCUUAAUCAUCAAAUUUCAAUUACAUUUACAUUGUUACAAGUUUCUAAAUAUCUAUCUAAUCAUUAAAACUAAUAUCAUCCUUCAGAAUAAUGCUCCUCGCAUGUUGAACGUGCUUGACCCUACUCAGACCCUUUUUGAGGGGAUCUCUCUUCUGACGAUACCCUCUUAACAAUGAGAAUCCCUUCUUCUACCCAUGGCCUAAUGAAGUGGUAUUUUUUUUCCGAUAUGUCAAGAUCUGCCAUGAUCUCUUGGUUCCUUUGUUAAGGCAACCACUCCUUCAUUAUCACAAAAAAUAUUCAUCGACUCCUUAAUGGUUAGCACAACUCCAAGGUCUCCUAUGAAGUUCUUCAACCAUAUAGCCUCCUUUGACGCUUCGCUCGCUACAAUGUACUCUGAUUCACAGGUAGAAUCAGCCAUUGUCUCGUUCUUGGAAAUUUUCCAAGUCACAACUCCUCCAUUAAGGGUAAACACCCAACCAGAUUGAAAACGGAAGUUGUCCCUGUCUGUUUGAAAGCUGGCAUCACUAUACGCAGUAACUCUUAAGUCAUCACUGCCACCAAGAAGAAGGACCCAGUCCUUAGUUCUUCAUAGAUACUUAAGAAUGUUAUUGACUGCUAUCCAGUGAGCCUUACCCGGAUUUCCCUGAUAUCGUUUAACCAUGCUCAAAGAAAAAGCUACAUCAGGGCGAGUGCAUGUCAUAGCAUACAUGAUCGAUCCAACAACAGAAGCAUAUGGAACUCGACUCAUUUCCGCUCUCUCGGCAUUCGUACUAGGACUCUGAGUCUUACUCAGUUUGGUAUUACUCUGGAUACGUAACUAUCUUUUCUUAGAAUUUUAUAUGCUAAAACGCUUUAGCACCUUAUCUAAGUAAAUACUUUGACUAAGUCCGUUUAGUUUUCUACUCAUACUCCUUAGAAUCGUUAUUCCCAAACUAUAGGUAGCCUCUCCCAGAUCCUAUAUAGUGAAACACUUUCUAAGCCAGGACAUAACUUCCUACAAGGUUGGAAUGUCGUUUCCUAUGACUAGUAUGUCAUCAACAUACAAUACCAGAAAGCUGACUACACUCCCACUAGCUUUGACAUAUACACAUGACUCAUCUUCACUCGAACUCUUUAACUUUCUCAAGCUUACACACUUUAUUAGGGUACUUAGUGUCCACAAAACUCUCUGGCUGACUCAUGUAAACAUCCUCAUCCAACUUUCCAUUAAGGAAAGCGAUUUUGAUAUCCAUCUGCCAAAUUUCAUAAUCAUGAAACGCAGCUAUGGCUAACAUGACCCUAUUAGAUUUAAUCUUAGCCACUGGUGAGAAGGUCUCAUCAUAGACAACCCAUGGGGUUUGAAUAAAGCCCUUCGCAACCAGUCGAUCCUUGAAAGUGUGUACCUUUCCAUCCAUGUCGGUCUUCUUCUUGAAGAUCCAUUUGCACCCAACUAUCUUAUGACUUGCUAAAUUAUCAACCAAAUUCAAAACUUGGUUGUCAUACGUGGACUUGAUCUCGCUGUCCAUUGGCUCUUUCCACUUGGCAGACUUAGGGCCCGACAUGGCUUCCUUGUAGUUAGAAGGAACAUACAAAUUCACCAGUGUACUAUCACUGAUAAACGUAUCACCAUCUGUAGUAAUACGGAAACCAUAAAACUCAGGUGUCAUUCUAAAUCGAGUGGAACGUCUAAGAGGUAAUGAUUCGUCAAUAUGUUCAACAUGAAUUUCUUCCACAGGUUGAGUGCUAGUGGUAGAGGUUCGUUCAUCGUUUGACUCUUGAAUUUCUUCAAGAUCAAUUGUACUCCCACUGUCCUCUUUGCAUAUGAGUUCUCUCUCGCGAAAGACUCCCCUCCGUGCUAUGAAGACCACGUUCUUACUAGGCCUGUAGAACAAGUAUCCAAAGGACUUUUGUGGGUAGCCGACAAAAAUACAUCACUCAUGUCGAGGUUCAGGCUUGUCGUGAGUCUCUAUUAUAACAAAAGCUUCACAACCCCAAACCUUGAUAUGUGCCAACGAGGGAACCUUCCCUGUCCACAUCUCGUGAGGUGUUUUGGUAACCUUCUUUAUCGGGAAUAGAUUUAGAAUAUCGGCGACAGUCUCUAAGGCAUACCUCAAAAAUGAGAUUGGAAGUGAAGCUCGACUCAUCAUGGAACGAACCAUGUCCAACAAUGUUCGAUUACGCCUCACAACUACAACAUUAAGUUGUGGUGACCUAGGAGGUGUCAAUUGUGAGACAAUUCCAUAGUCCUUGAGAUAGUCAUGGAACUCAAUACUAAGAUACUCACCGCCUCUAUCGGAUCUAAGCAUAUUUAUCUUCCUGCCUAAUUGAUUCUCGACUUCUUGUCUGAACUCUUUAAACUUUUCAAAGGUUUCCGACAUAUGCUUGAUUAAGUAGAUAUAGCCACAUUUGUGUAUGAGAUCCAACAAUCCUUCACCUCUUUCACAAGUACCAGUGAAAGGUGAUUUCGUCAUCUUUCCAAGCAAAAAAGACUCACAUGUAUCAUCUGUCCUUAUGUCAAAUAAUUCCAACACUCCAUCCUUUUGGAGUUGGGCAAUGCGGUUCUUGUUGACAUGUCCAAGAUGACAAUGCCACAAGCAUGCUUUGUCUAAACCAAUAGAUGAAUCAAUUUGCAACACAUUAUUCCCCAAAUUGUAUACAACCAUUACAGUUUCAUGUACACCAUCACAAGGUAAUACUUCAAAAUGAAAUACACCAUUAUAAUAAGUAUAAAUAGAUCCAUUCUCAUUGUCAAAAGAAUAUCUAAAACCUUGUUUAUAUAAACCAUGAAAGGAAAUAAUACUCCUCGUCAUUUCUAAUGAGUAGCAAUAAUUCUUUAAGUAUAAUCAUAACCCACUAUUAAGCACUAAAGAAUAAAUGUUGAUCUUGGUAACAGGUGACGAUCUCUUAUUGCACAUUAUCAUGUUCAUCUUCCCAUGCCCCAUAUCCCUACUUUCUUUUGUUCCUUGCAAGUCAGAGCAAUUGUGAAAACCACAUCAUGUAUCUGAUGGGUUUUGAGCAUUGCACAUUCCUAUGGUGCACAUGCAACCCUAAUGCUUUGGAUCAAGGUUUUUCUCAAGUUAUACAUCCAAAUCAAUUAUCAAAAUAAAAACUCUAGAUCUAGUAUAUACAAUUCAAAAUUUACAUAUGUAUUAGGGUUAAAAGAUUACCUCACUUGUUAUAUUGUAAUAACAAGAACAAUCCUUGAAGUCCUUGACUCUUGAAAGCUUAGUGCCCCAAGUGUUUUACCUCUAAUGGAGUCACAAACACUCAACACAACAAGGAUGACUUGGAGAGAAUAAAAUCAGCUAGGGCAAAUCCUAGAAGCAUAGGGCUGAUUUUCUUAGGGCUUAGAGGGUUUAUAUAAGGCUAGGUUGCUUAACCUUUAAGCUAGACUUGAAUAAGGAAACCCUAAUUCCUAAAUUAAGCCCAAAACAACCCUGUACCUCCUUGAUAAGCCCUUGGACGAAAUCUUAUGGGGAAAACCAUAAAUUUCAUCCACUCCACUUACAAGGAGUCCUGAGCCCAGUUUCAUAACUAUCAACGAUUUGCAAAACAACCCCUUCAUUGUUAAUUAGUUCCUUUUAAUCCUGAAAUUAACACCAAUUAAGUUUUGAUUAAUUACUAAUUAAUAAUAUGAUUUUCCAAAUAAUAUAUUAAACUUUUAAUAUAUGAAUAAAAUCAUUUUAACCACUAAUUUAUUAUUCCAAAUAACAAAUUCAACUCUCUCUCCACUAGUCAUCCUAUCAAGUUGUAUGAGUGAAGGAAACCUAAAAGGACCAUGCUUAGAUACAUAAUCCAAUAAUCUCCCACUUGGAUAAGUCUAAUAACUAUUAUGCAAGUAUGACUUCAGAAUCUGAUCAACAAUUGUAGCUUUCAAAAUCCAUUGUCAAACUCUGAUCUUAUUAGUAAUGCGUCCUUUAGAUAAAGGAUCAAAUAUUCCUCCAUUCUACAAUAUAUCGUAUGGACAGGAGACAUGGAUUGUAAUCAAUCAAUCUGUCCAAGGUUUGUUUCCCUACUUUCCGAUUUAUGACGACUGAAAACAGACUACAAUUGAACACAUCAACUUAGUCCAUGCUUGGCAAAGUGCUUAGGGUGUCAUCACUAAAUCAUCGAGGGGUCCACAGAUAUCGCUAUUAUUCCAUUUAGGGUAAAAGGAAUGGAUAAACUUCGACUCAUAUGCUUGUACUAUUUACUCAUCAAAUCACACACAACAAUACGUUUUAUAACAUCAAGUUACUGAUGUGCUUACUUUUUAUCAAUGCACAACCGACUUGUAAACAACAAUUAUAUGUCUUUGUUUCAAGAAUAUAAGAUAUUAUCGUCUCAUAAUCACUCGUGAUAAAAUCCAUGAAGUGAUUCAAAUGAUCAUGGGUUUAAUCCAACAAUGAAAAUUUUAUUUCAGUACUACUCACGAACAUUAAAGCAAACAUUUUUUAUGUCUAAGCACUUAGACAAUCUACAGUCUGAUUCAUGACAAUCUUACCUCAUUACUUACUUCCAAUGUAUGAUGAUUGCAGAUGUUUUAAUAACCUAGUUCUUCGGGAAGUAAAACAUGUGAAGUGAAAUACAAGACUAAUCUAAUCCAAUAUAGUCUCAAAACUUUUGAAUAUAAAUAAAACACUUAUUAUUUAAUCACCAUAUCGAUUAGACCUUAUUCAUUGUAUAAUGUUUCGAACACUCAACUCAAUACUUGAAUUAAAACAAUGUCAUCCCAUGCUCCAAGCAUGCACACCAUGUUUAUCUAUGGUCCUUCAUUUGUGAAAUAAAUCAAUUAAACACAUUUCCAAUGAUUCUCAUUUCACAAUUCACUAAUCCUUAUAAGUGUACAAAUACUAUAUUUGUGUAAGAAUACUAUAUUCUUGCCACUACUAGAAUCUGUUAGAGUCUAAACUUACAUGCAAUGAUCCUUUUGUAAUGUCUAAGAACAAAAGUCACAGGGAAUUGGCCAAUGAUAUUACAAAACAUUCCAUUGGAGGUUGUUACAAGAUAAUUCCCUGGAAAUGAAGUCUCACAUUCAAAGAGCAUUCCUUGAACAUCCUUCUUGAAUUAAAGUUUCUAACUCACACAUAGAUCUCAAUAUUCAACUCCCAUUAUGGAAUCAUUUCCAUAAUUGCCAUAUGAAAAUCCAUUCUUAAUAGAAUCCUAUCUAUUCAGAAUUAUAUCAAUAUGGUCAAUCCAUUACUAUAUUGCCAACUGUCCACAAGCAGCCAAUCUUCGAUAAACCCUAGAUUGUCCUUUGACAGUUGUUUAACAACUUUAGUCAUAUUUGGUCCAGUCCCUUUUCCUUCAUAAUGUGCUAGGCAUUUGGAAAAAUCAUAACAAAUGAAUAUUAUAGCAUAUGCAACGAUCCUAUACCCGAAGCAUAUGGGAUACGACUCAUAAUGUCUUACAUAAAGACUUGAAAGUCUCUUGCUAUAAUAUUUCCAUAUAUAGAUUUUUCCUAUGUUGAAUCACUUCAACAUAGCAUUCAUAUAUGUCCAUGACUAAGUUUGAUUUAAAUUUCAAUAUAAGCUAUUAGAUUUGAAAUCAAGUAUUAGUGCUCUCUCCCUUAACUUUGAAAAUUUAGAACUUUGUUUCCUAUAAAUAACAUUGCUAACUUCCAACACUUAACAUAACAAUUACACUCCCACUAUCAUACCAAUUAUGUUCUUAUCAGCAUAACAAUUAUACUACCACUAGCUUUGACAUGUACUCAGAAAUCAGCUGGACUUCUAGAAAUCAAUACCUAUUGAGUUUCUUACCAAAUUUCAGACUUCUGAUACGCGGUGCUUUGAUAAGUCUUCUCCUAGACUUAUCAAGCUCAUACACCAUUCAUUGGAUAGCUUAUGUGUGUGUCUAAACGCUUUCUGAACUCAUAACAACAAGUCCCGAAUGUUCAAACUAUUUCACAUUUCUCAUAAUUCGAACUAUGAAAAGGGAUGCCGUAAUCAUACUCGAAUUUGAGAACGCAAUUACCAUAGCUGCUAACUCUAAUCCUUCAAAAUCUACUAGUGAAAGCCUUCCUUCACAAUCAUUUUCAUGAACUAGAGAGAAACCUCUUGCCAAUUAGAUUUUAUGGUGUAUGUGUUCAUAUCCAUGUGAACUUGUCAUUUAGAACCACUAUCAUAAGACAAGGUUUAUGACAAAUUAAAAAUUAUAUGGACUAAACCUGAUUAUUCUUAAUUUCUUGCCAUCUGGCAGCACAAGGGCCUACCAGUGCUUCCAGGUUAUUGAGCAGCUCACCUACACUGAUCAAUGUACUUUCACUGAUGAAGGUGCUUUACCUUAUGCAAUCAAAUGAGAACUCACAGAACUCACAUGCAUAGUUAAAUUAACUGGAAUGGGCACAGAAACAAGAAUAUGGCAACACGAUAGGUUAUCAACCUCAGGUCGUGUGCUAGUGAUUACUAAAAGUUUUAUUCUUGAUCAGUUCCUAAAACUAUUCAAAAGCAUUUAAAAUCCCACUGAACUCUUGACAUAUAAUGUUCUCUGUCAAGAAACAUUACUUGACAAACAAAUAUUCAAGAGUUAGUGCAGGUUCUUAUCAAGAAACACUUCAUAUAAUUGGUCUCAGUUGAUCUUUGUUUUAGCCAAAACAUCACAACUACCAAUUUCAAAUGUGUAAGAGUUAGAAAAAAUUUCUACUCCACAUUUCAUAAGGUGUUAUAAACCUAUUUAAAAAAUGUCACUCAAGGUACAACUUCAAGUAACUACAGUAUGACUCUAAGACUCGAUUUUGGAACUAAGUAUGACCCAUCUUCUUGAUUAAUCAUUUUAACAAUUCCCGAUUCCUCUUAUUAGUCAUGUAAAUGAAAUAAGGUGUCCUUACAGGUUCAAUUGUGACAUGGUUCCAUAAUCAUUAGGAUCAUCAUAAAACACGAUACUAAAGUGCUCUCCUUUCCUUUCAGAUUGGAGAAACUUUUAUCUUUCUGCCUAAUUGAUUCUUCUUAUUCGUUCUGUUGUACAUUGAAACUUUUCAAGGUAUUAGAAUUACACUUAAUCUUGUAAGCAUAACCAUAUUUAUUGAACUAUCAAUAAAUCAUGAUGAAUAGACUUUAUUGUCCUUUGUGAUGGAUCUGACCACUCCACAUCAAUGUGUAAUAUAUCCUUUAGUCUUUCACUUGAGUCACAUAUACAUCUGAACAAGGAAUUAGCCAUAAUUUCCCAAAGGUCUAGAUUCUCAUACAUCACACAACUCAAUAUUGCAUGAUUCCAAGUUUCUGUCCAAUUGAAACUUGGGCGAUAAGAAUCUUUCCUUAUUUGGUAAAUUAUGACACCGCCACAAAUGAUAUAACCAAGAAUCAAACCCAUUUUUAACAUUGCUAGCAAUAGAAAUAUAAACACCAAUUUUCACAAAAUCCAUUGCAAGGAUACAUAAAAUAAGAUAAAAUCAAAUUUUACUUUAUUUAAAAAUUGCAGAAAAACUUGUCCUUACAAUGCAAAUACAAAUGAAAACUAUGUUUCCAAAUAUUCCUAAGCAGUCUAUCAUAACUCUAAGUAGCAGCUCAAAAAUAUGAUCCUCAAACCAUGCGAUCGAAAUCCAUCUCUUCACAAUCAGAUUCAGCUUACUUCUUCUUUUAAGCUUCCUUCUUUCUCUUUGAUCCUACAAAACAUCAAAAUGCAAUCUUAUCACAUCAUGUAUUAAGAAUCUAUUAAUAGGAACUUAAUAGAGUUAGAUAGUGGGUAUACCUGAAGUAGAGUCAUAUAAUUUGACUUUACUAUCCUUGCAAUCUUUCAGGUAGAUACGAUAGAUUCGCAUCCAAUGCCCCUUCUCUUGGCAAUAGAAACAUAUGGAUUCUUCGGGAAUGACACAUGGGAAUAUCUCAGAAUAUUCCUUUAUCUUAUGUUCAAAAUUUUCGACUAUGGCUGAUUUCUCUCCCUUAGGAGGAGAAACCAUUUCCGGACUAUCACCUUUGCCAUAACCAAUGUUCAUUGAAAUUUGGGAUGUAGAUCUUCCAGAAAAAUCAGCUUGACAGGUGCGCCAAAGCAUUGCUGCUUCAACAAAAAUUAGCAAAUAAGAUAGAUCAAUAAGGGUCACGUCGUGAUCUAUCACAUAGUAGUCUUUAACAAACUGACCAUAUGAAUCGGGAACAGACUGAAGAACCAAGUCAACAGCCAACACCUUUGGGAAAACGACAGCAAACAUUCCCAGUCUUUCAAGUUCCGACUUCAUGUUUAGAACAUGUGCACAUACAGAGUUUCCAUCUUCAUGUUUGCAUGCCAACAUGGCUUGAGUAACCUUGAACUUUUCAAGUUGAUGAAAACGUGGGUCAGGGAGAAUCACUGGAGGAGGUGGAGGAAGAGAAGUAUGAUUUCUAGUUCCACCUUUUCCCGAAGAAGGGAUUGAUCUUUCACCUUGAUCGACACUUGGAACAUCAUCUUCAGAAGGAAAGCCAUUUCCAAAAGGAUGAGGAAGACCAUAGUUGUCAAAACUAGACAUCUACAAAAGGGCAAAAUUCAAGUUAGUUGAUUUAAUCCUUAAUAUAACACCUAAAUGAAAUACUAAGGCUAGGACCCCACAUAAUAAUUCACAAUUCGGAAGAAGGAUGCCGUAAUCCAGUUGCAGAUUAUUUGAAGGUAGGUAAAUGACGAUUUACCAAUUCCACCACAAAAAUGAAAUUUUAAACGAAUUAGGUUUUAAAUGAAAUUCCUAGAUCUUUUGAGAUUCCUUGAACUUUUCAAUGGCAUGUUUAAUCUCGAUUAUGUCGUACAAGUUUGUGAUUGGGAUACCGAGGAUCACAAACAAGGUGUGAAUAACCAUGCAAAUUAGCUUGGUACUCUUGAUGUCAUUUAUCAAUUAAUCAAUUUAUUGGUUAACCACACACAAUCCAUUGAUCAAUGAUAGUUUACAAGAAACCCAUUUCCAUCCUUUAUUAGUCCACAUUAGUGUGUCGGUUAACCACACACGCUCCAAUAACUGACUAAUAAGGUGCAAUGUGCAAUUUCAUGGGUUAGCAUCAAAUUAACAUUUUCCUAAAGUAACUAAGACUUGGCAAUUUAUAAAAGCAUUCAGUUACUUUAUAAUUCAUUAUACUUUUAAUGAGAGUUUAGAACCCUGUCCAAAUCUUUAGGAACAAACUUUCCUAUUAAAGAUGAUAUCCCGCAUGGCAAUCAAGGUGAAAGAUUAAUCCAUUUCUUAUGCAUUAAUGGUAUUGGAAAUCAUGCUUCACUUCCUCCACCUCCUCCAAUUAUUCUCCCUAUCCCACAAGUUCAAAUACUUGAAAAAUUCAAGGUCUCUCAAUCCCUAUUGGCAAGCUGGGAGAGUCGGGUGUCGAAGUCUCGAGGUAGCUAGUUGUUGACUUGGUUCCUCAGUCACACCCUGAUGACAGAUCAAGACAUGAACCUUAAUGAUCUUACCUAUUUGCUUGAUGCUACUAAAUCUGCAAUGAUUUGGGGCACUGGUAAAGCAAAAUUUGAAUGGAAAAUCAACUUUCGAAACUUCCAUGGACAUUGACGAUGGUAACAUUAGAAGUCCAGAAAAGCUUUCUCUUCCCAAUGGAAAGGGAUCGACCAUGGUCAAGUCAUUUAACCUAAUGGUAAAGAGUAAGGAUAAGUCUGAGAUAGUCUCAUGUACCAUUUCCAAAGAAUCCACAUGUUUCUUUUUCCAAAAGAAGGGGCAUUGGUUGCAAAGCUGCCAGAUUUACCUGAAACAUCUGGUAAAGUCAAAAGUUUGACUCUACCUCAGGUAAAGUCCAUUAUCUAACUCUAUUAAGUAUCUUUUGGAGAUUCUUAAUAUAUAAUGUAAUCUAAUUACAUUUUGAUGUUUUAGAAAAUCAAAUGAAGUAUAAAGAAAGAGUACGCUGAUUUUGAUCGCGAAAAUGGUUCGGUGAUCAGAAUUUUCAGCAACUGCUUAAGAGUUAUGAUAAAUUGCUUAGGAAUAAAUAUCAUCAUAGUUUUCAUAUGUAUUUGCAUUGUAAGGAAAAGAUUUUUCUGCAAGUUUUAAAAUAAAAAAAAAAUUUGAUUUAUUUAUUUUAAGUAUCCUUACAAUGGCAUUUGUGAAAAAUUGUUGUUUAUAUGUUUCCAUUGAAAGCAAUAUUGGAAAAUAAAAUUUAAUUCUUUAUUUAUGGUAGUGUCAUAAUUUACCAAAUAAGGAAAGAUUCUCAUCACCCAAGUUUCAGUUGGAUAGAAACUUGGAAUCAUGCAAGUUGUAUUGUGUGAUGAAUGAGAAUUUUCAUCUUUGGGAAAUUAAGACUAAGACCUUGUUCACAUGUAUGUGUGAGUCGAGUGAUGGAAUAAAGGAUUGGGUACACUUGGUUGUGCGCUGAUCAGGUUCACCACAAAGGUCAAUACCAUUAUUCGUGAUGAUUUACUAAAGUUUAGUAAAUAUGGUUAUGCUUACAAGUUUAAGUGUAAUUCUGAAACAUUGGAAAAUUUUCAAUGUAUGACAGAACAGAUGAGAAGAAUCAAAUAAGGCAGAAAGAUAGAUGUUUCUCCAAAUCUGAAGAGAUGGGAGAGUAAUUAAGUAUCUUGUUUUAUGACUAUCUUAGUGAUUAUGAAACCAUAUCAUAAUUGAUUCCAAAAUCAAAUCUUAGAGUCAUACUCUAAGAUUGUAACUUUAGUGAUAUAAUCUUAAGAAAGGUUUAAAACAUUUGUCAAAUGUAAAGUAAAAUGGUUUCUUACUCUAGUAUAUUUGAAAUUGGUAAGUUGUGAUGUUUAGGAUAAGACAAAGACUAACUAAGACCAAUUGUGAGAAGUGAAUCCGCACUAACUCUUGAAUAUUUGUUCUGUCAAGUAAUGGUUCUUGAAAAAAGGAUCUUAUAUGUCAAGAGGAUAGUGGGAGUCUUAAAGAUCUUGUAAAAGUUCAAAAACUAAUCAAGAGAAUUGUUAAUCGCUAGCACACAACUUGAGGUUUGUAACCCAUUGUGUUGAUAUAUUUCUGUUUAUGUGUCCAUUCCAGUUUAAGUUGACUAUGCUUGUGAGUUCUGUAAGUUCUCAAUUUUUUGCAUAACAACCUGGAAGCAAUGGUAGACCCUUAUGCUACCGGGUGGGAAGAAAAUGAGAUUGAACAAGUUCAGUCCCUAUGAGUUUGGAUUUGUCACUAACCUUGUCUUAUGAUUAUGGUUCUGACAAAUUCACAUGGAUAGGAACACAUACACCAUAAAAAAUAUAAGUGUCAUAAGGUUUCUCUCCGAUUCAUGAAAAUGAUGCUGAGGAAACGUUUUCACUAAGUAGAUUUUAAGUAGACAACAAUUUUGAUCUUUGCAUUCUCAAAGUCGUUAGUGGAGCGUGAGUGGUUAACCGGCACACUAACAUGGACUUAUGAGAAAUGGAAAAGGUCUAAACAAUUGAGACUAUGAUUACAACAUCCCUUUUCAUAGCUCUAAAAUUGUUUAGACACACAUGUGAGCUAUCUAAGAAAAGGUGUAUGAUUUUGAUAAAGUCUUGUCAAAGCAAUCUCGUAUCCGAAAUCUACACUUCAGUAAGAAAGUCAAUAAAGUAUUGACUUCUAGAAGUCCAGAUGUUUUCUGAUACAUGUCAAAGCUAGUGGGAGCAUAAGUGUUAUGCUAAUAAUCAUCAUGUUAGUGAGAGCAUGAUAAUUAUGAUAACUAUUGCAAGUUAGCAAUGUUAAUUAUAGAAAACAAAGUUUCAAUUCUUAAAAUUGAAGGGGANCAAAUACUGACAAUUUAUUUUUUCAAUCUUAAGUCCAAAAAUAGUAAUCGCGGUUCCUACCAUUUUUUGAGUUCCUACUUAAUUAUAUAUAUAUAUAUAUAUAUAUAUAUGAAUUCUAUGUUGGAAUGGUAAAACAUAAGAAAAUUCUAUAUAUUGCGUUCUCAAAAUUCGAUUAUGAUUAUGACAUCCCUCCUCAUAGUCAAAAUUUGGGAACAUGACAAAUAAAAAUUGUAUAGCAUGAAUCGUGUCCCAUAUGCUUCGGGUAUAGGAUCGAUUACAUGUGCUAUAAUAUUUAUCCUUUCUGAAUUUUCCAAAUGCCUGGGGCAUUAAGAAGGGAAAAGGUCUAGAAUUGGAUAUGACUAAAAUGAUUAAACAAUUGUCGAGGAUAAUCUAAGGUCUACCAAAGAUUGGUUGUUUAGGGACAGUUGGAAGUAUAGUGUUAAUUUUGGAAGGACCAUAUUGACAUAUUCUGAAAAGAGACAACUCUUGUUCAUAAGUGAUAGUCAAAAUGGGAAUAUGGAAAUAUUCUCAUAGGUGGAAGUUAUUCAAUCUGUGUAAGAUUAGAAAAAAUAAUGCAAGAAGUAUGUUCAAAACAAUGUACUUUGAAUAUGAGACUUCGUUUCCAUGAAGUUGAUCUCCAUUGGAAUACUCUGUAAUGUCUGGUGACAAGUCAUGGUGACUUUGUGCAUAAUCAUUACAAUGGAUCAUUGCAUAUAAGUUUAGAAUCUAACAGAUAAUAGUAAAUGGCAAGAGUUUGGUAUUCUUACAUUUACAAAAAAAAAAAGGAUUUGGAUUGUGAAAUGAGCAUCAUUGGAGUCGUGUUUAAUUGAUCUAUUUCACAAAAGAAAGGACCAUAGGUAAACAUAGUGUGCAUGCUUGGUGCAUGGCAUUACUAUUGUUUUAAUUCAAGUAUAAAGUUGAUAAGAUCGAAACAAUGAGUAAUGAGUAAUCAAUAUGGUGCUUAGAUAAAAAGGGUUUUUAUUUGCACUCUAGAGUUUGGGGCCAUAUAGGAUUAGUAUUAUUCUUGUGUUUCACUUUGCAUGUUUUGACUUCUAAAAAUAACUAGGUCGUUCUUUCUGAAUGACUAAGUUAUUCAAACGAUCCACAUUCGGUCAUAUGUUGGAAGUAGAUAUGAAUCAAGACUGUCAUUAAGUUGGUUUGUAGAUGUCCAAGGUAGUGGACAUAGCAAGAGUUGCUGCAACAUUCAUGAGUGCUCAUAAGUUCUGAGUAUUGGAUUCAACCCACGCUCAUUUGAAUCACUUCAUGGAUUUUAUCACGAGUGAAUCAUGAAGUCAUUCUACAUCUAAGAGGUAUGUAUUAUAACCCACGUUGUGUGAACUAUUUGAGGUGUCACACUUGGGGCAUUAGGCUCUCGAGCAUCAUGGAGUCAUUCUACAUCUAAGAGGUAUGUAUUAUAACUUGUUAUAUUUCAUGUGAAUCGAAGUUUUGUAUGCUAGUUAGUAUAAUACCUUGGAUAUUCAUAUUUGCAUGUAUAAUUGAGAAAACAUAGAUCUAAGGUAUUUAGGGUUGCAUGUACACUUAGGAGUGUUAUAAUGCUCAAAACCCAACAGUGGUAUCAGAGCCAAGGCUUGUUUUCUUGUUAUACUUGCAAAAUUGGCUGAAAAAUCGAAUUGUUGUGUUGUCUGUUCAGGAGACUCGCCGAGUCCAUGGAGGGACUCAACGAUUCCGAAGCAAAAUGCAUCCAACUCGUCGAGUUGGUUCAUGCACUCGACGAGUUGGACCCCCAGACAGCAUAUAUUCGACUGUUUUGGCUUGAAUUGGACUAGGAACAUUACCCUAAGCUGUUUUUGACCUUAUAAACCUAUUUUUGAUGUGGUAAUGUUCAUGCUAAUCUAAUUUCAAAGAUAAUUGUCAAUAGAUUCAUGUUUUGUGUUAGUUUAAAAGUUAUUCUAAUUACAUGAAAAAGGUUGAUGUGAAUUAUCUUUGUUCAUAUGAGUUGCUUAGAUUAAUAGAAAGAGUUAGAUGAUUAUGUGUCUUUAAUCCAUUUUAAUCUAAGAGUUGAUUCUAAAAUGUUUUUGUGUAACGUGUCCUCAAGUUACAUGAAAGGUCACAUUUAAGUUUCUUAAAACUCAUAAAAGUUGGCAAAUGUUACAAAACGAAGAGUCUUGUCCUCAUUAAAUGGUUUUAUGACUCCAUAACUUGUCCUCAAGUUAUGGAGGCUCAAGAGUCACUUCAUUAAAUAAUAAAAAUGUGUAACCUUAAUUAGUUCCAUAAGUUACAAAAAAAAAGAGUUACAUUCUUUAAUAGUUUAAAGUCUUCCAUAACUUGUCCUCAAGUUAUGGAACUUGAAGAGUUUUAAUUAAAAACUACUUUAAACACAUAAGUUAUGGAAUUAAAUGGUUUUGAAUAGUUUCAAAAGAUGCACUCAAGUUUUGGAAUUUGAAAAGUUUUCUUUCAUGAAUACUUUAAUUCCAAAUUAAGCCCUUAGGAUUUUAAAAGUUAAAAUUCAACCUUUAUACUUUAUAAUAUUAUAAGGUAAUAAUAUAUAUAUGUAUAAAUAUAUAUAUANNNNNNNNNNNNNNNNNNNNNNNNNNNNNNNNNNNNNNNNNNNNNNNNNNNNNNNNNNNNNNNNNNNNNNNNNNNNNNNNNNNNNNNNNNNNNNNNNNNNNNNNNNNNNNNNNNNNNNNNNNNNNNNNNNNNNNNNNNNNNNNNNNNNNNNNNNNNNNNNNNNNNNNNNNNNNNNNNNNNAUAAUACUAAGUAACUAAACUCUUAAUAAUACCCAAUCUUAGUUACUUAGGAAAAAUGUGAAUAAGGUGCUAAUCCAUGAAAUUACACUUUACACUUUGUCUAAGUCGUUAGUGGAGCGUGUGUGGUUAACCGGCACACUAACUUGGACUUAACAAGGUAGGUAAAGGGUGACUUAAUAUUUAUCAUAGUAUCGAUGGAGCGUGUGUGGUUAACCGACACAUCGAUUGAGGGGUAAACACUUAAGAGUACCAAGUAAUUUGCAUGGUUACUUCACACCUUGUUUUGUGAUCCUCGGCAUCCCAGUCACAAAUUCUGAAGGGCACAAUCGAGAAUGAAACAUGACAUUGAAAGUUCAAUGAAUCUCAAAGAUCUAGGAGUUUCAUAUCCAAUUAAAACCUACUAAAUUAUUUCAUUUUUCAUGGUGGAAAUUGGUGAAUCGUCAUUCACUUACCUUCAAAUAUUCUAUAGCUUGGAUUACGACAUCCCUCUUUCAAGUUAUAAAAUAUUAUGUUGGGUCCUAGCCUUAAUAUUUCAUAUUGGGUGUUAUAUUAAUGACUUUAAAUCAACUGUCUUGAAUAUCUCCCAAAAGAUGUCUAGUUCAGACAUAUAUGAUCUUCCCAAAUCUCUUGGAACUUCACUUCCUCCACCUCCUCCAAUUAUUCUCCCUAACCCACAAGUUCUAGGUCACUCAAGCCUUAUUGGCAAGGCAAAGUCUAGAUGUGAUCACAUCUUGGAGAUGGAGUCACAUAUUGACAAGCCGGGAGAGUUGGGUGUCAAAGUCUUGAGAAAGUUGGUGGUUCAAUCACUUUCUAAGUCACAUAGUGAGUUCCUUUGGGACUCUUAUGAAACAGACUAUGAUAAGACCCUUAAUGAUCUUAUAUAUUUGUUUGGUGCUGCUGAAUCAACAAUGAUAUUGAAGGCUAGUAAAGCAAAUUUGAUUAGAGGAUCGACUUCCCAAAACUUUAUGGACAUUGACAAUGGUGACACUAGAAAUCCAGAAAAAACAUUCUCUUCUCAAUGGAAAGGGAUCAGCCAUAGUCAACUAGGUUGACCAAAUGGGAAAGAGAAAGGCUAAGUCUGUAAUAAUCCCAUGUACCAUUCCUAAAGAGUCCAUAUGUUUCUCUUGCCAUAGGAAGGGGCAUUGAUUGCAAAGCAGCCUAUUUACCUGAAAGAUCAUAAGGUUGAUCAAGUCAAGAAGAUUGACUCUACUUCAGGUAAAGUCCACUAUCUAACUUUGUUAAGUUUCUAUUCUAAAAUUAUUGUUACAUGAUGUGAAUGGGUCACAUGUUGAUGUUUUAAGAAUCAAAGAAAAGUAAAGAAACUUAAAGGAAGUAUAUGAUGAUUCUGAUCGCGAAGAUGGAUUUCGAUCGCAUGGCUCAGUGAUCAGAACUUUGAGCUGUUGCUUAGGAGUUAUGAUAGAUUGCUUAGGAAUAGAUAACAACAAGUUUUUCAUAUGCUUUUGCACUGUAAGGAUAAGUUUUUCCGCAAAGUUUUAAAAUAAAAGGAAAUUUUUUAUUUCAUUUAUUCUAAGUAUCCUUACAAUGGCAUUUGGGGAAAAUUGUUGCUUAUAUGAUUCCAUUGAUAGCAAUAUUGAAAAAUGGUUUUGUUUCUUUCGUUUGUGGUAAUGUCUAAUUUACCAAAUAAGGAAAGAUUCUCAUCACCCAAGGUUUCAGUUGGACAGAAACUUGGAAAUCAUGCAAGUCGUAUAGUAUGAUGAAUGAGAAUUUUCAUCUUUGGAAAAUUAAUAUUAAUUCCUUGUUCACAUGUAUAUGUGAGUCAAGUGAAGGACUAAGGGAUCGAGUACACACUCCGGUGCACUGAUCAAGUCCACCAAAAAAGAUCGAUUAAGACUAUUCGUCAUGAUUUAGUAAAGUUUAGUAAAUAUGGUUAUACUUACAGGCUUAAGUAUAAUUCUGAAGCAUUGGAAAAUUUUUAGUGUAUGGCAGAGCGAAUAAGAAGAAUCAAAUUAGGCAGAAGGAUAAAAGUUUCUCAAAUCUGAAAAGAUGGGAGAGUACUUUAGUAUCAUGUUAUAUGAUCAUCUUAAUGAUUAAGAUACCUUAUCACAAUUCAUCCUCUAAGUGCCUUCUGAUAGCUAAGAAGAGGAGCUAUGAAUUGUUGAAGUGGUCAAAUCAAAAAGAUGAUUCAUACUUCAUUCCAAAACAUGUCUUAGAGUCAUACUCCAAGACUGUAAGUUGAGUGACAUAUCUUAAAGAAAGGUUUAAAACACUUGUCAAAUGUAAGAGUAAAAAUUUCCUACUCUUGUACAUUUGAAAUUGGUAAGUUGUGAUGUUUUGGAUAAAACAAAGACCAACUUAGGCCAAUUGUGUGAAGUGUUUGUCUUGAUAAAGAGUCCGCACUAUCUCUUGAAUAUUUGGCAAGAUAGUCUUAUAUGUCAAGAGGACAGUGGGAGUCUUAAAGAUCCUAAAAGAAUUUGAAGAUCUAAUCAAGAAUAAAAACCUGUAGUUUAAAACAAGCACACGACGUGUGGUUUAUAACCUAUCCUGUUGACAUAUUUCUAUUUCUGUGCCCAUUCCAGUUAAUGUUGGCUUGGCAUAUGAGUUCUUAGAGUUCUCAAUUGGUUUCAUAUCAACUUGGAAGCAAUGACAGGCCCCUAUACUGCCAGGUGGCGAGAAGUUAAGAUUGCACAAGUUCAAUCCAUAUGAGUUUGGAUUUGUCACUAACCUAGUCUUGUGAUUGUGGUCUUGACAAAUUCACGUGCAUAAGAACACAUAUACCAUAAAAUCUAAGGGUCAUAAGGUUUCUCUCCGAUUCAUGAAAGUUAUGGUGAGGAAACACUUCCACCAAGUAGAAUUUAAGUAAGAUAGCAAUUGUGAUCUUUGCAUUCUCAAAGUCGUUAGUGGAGUGUGCGUGGUUAAGCUGCACACUAACAUGAACUUAUGAGAAAUGGCAAAAGUAUAAACAAUGGAGACUAUGAUUACGGUAUCCCUUUUCAUAGUUCUAAAAUUGUUUGGACACACCUGUGAGCUAUCUAAGAUAAGGUGUAUGAUUUUGAUAAAGUCUUAUCAAAGCAAUCUCGUAUCAGAAAGAUGAACUUUGGUAAGAAAGUCAAUAAAGUAUUGAUUUCUAGAAGUCCAGCUAAUUUCUGGAUACAUGUCAAAGCUAGUGGGAGCAUAAGUGUUAUGCUAGUAAUUUUCAUGUUAGUGGGAGCAUGAUAAUUAUGAAAAGUGUUGCAAGUUAGCAAUGUGAAUUAUAGAAAACAAAAGUUUCAAUUCGUGAGGUUGCAGGGGUUGAAAAAGUUGUUUUGCUAUAAUUAAGGGAGAGGAAAUUAUACUUCAUUUCAAUUCUAAAAGCUUAGAUUGAGGUUUUAAAUCUUUAGUCAAGGAUAUAUAUAUAAGAAUUUUAUGUUGGAUUGGCUCAACAUAAAGAAAU